UUCCAUCUCAGGGGCUUGGUGGCCCGGUUGUACUGAGACUCUGUGUCCCAGACUGCCUUUCCACCAGGGGAAGGUGCUGUGCAGAAGCUGGAAGAAAGGAAAAAGGAAGUGUUUAUCGUCCCAAAGACGCCUUCCAACUUUUAUUAUUAAUUCCUUUUCCAAAAUACACUUUCAGAUUUGUUUCAAGUAAGCUCUAGCCAAAGUGCAAUUGGGUUUGCUGUGUUCUCUAGGACUAGAGGUGAAAACAGCAUCACUCCCAGGGAAGGACGAGGAGGGGUGGAGGUGGAGCUCCUUUAGUGAAGCAGAGGGAGCCUGAAUGACAGCUCCUGGGACAGUGAGGGCUUGAAGAGCUUGGUGCAGAACAAGGCACACCUUCAAUGAGCCCUUUCAUACUUCAUUGUAGCCCAGCCAACAUGUUGGUCGGCACAUCUGCUGUGGGUUAGGCCCUCCAAGAGGAGCCGAGGGUCCUUAGCACUUCUCUGGGGCACUCCUGGCCCAACUGGCGAGAUCGGUGUGGUAGUAGACUGUUCCAAUAUAGAGAGGUAAAUGAAAAAUAGAGAAAUGCCCAGUGGACUUUUGGAGCAAAGGGAGAGCGCUCUGGGGGGUAUGCAGGAGCCCUGACCUGGCUUGGCGCCACCGUGGGGCCAUCUCUGGGAACAUGCCAUAGGCGGAGGGAGGUGGCGUGAUGGUGAGACUCAGGCCCCGGGCCGGAGAGCCUUGAGAGUGAGGCUGAAGAACGGGGUCUUUAUUCUGUCCAAAGCCUGACCAAGUGCUCAUAGGAUACAGGUUUAGGGGUGAGAUGGCCGGGUUUACAUUUUGAAUAGUUGGUGCUACAGACUGCAGUGUGGAAUAUGGAUGUCUGGGGAACAGGAAUGGGGCCAGAAAGGUUUGGAUGCUAUUAUAGCGGACUAGGUGAACGGUAGUCGGGUCACUCAACAACCGCUUCUUUUACCUGAGGAUGCAGCAGGGAAUGAAAUUAUCAAACGUACCUGCCCUUACAGUGCUUACAUUUUAGUGGCCCAAACUAGUUGUUGUCUUGUCAUUUCUGACACAUGGUGACCCCAAGUGUGUCAAAAGAGAACCGUGCUCCGUAGGCCUUUGAGUAGUUGAUUUUUCGGAAGGAGAUUGCCAGGCCUUUCUACUGAAAUGCCUCUGAGUGGACAGCCAAGCGCAUUAACGUUUUGCACCACCAAGGGACCCCUCUAGUGGAGGGACAGACAGUAAACCAAGGGGUGGGGCAAAAGUUCAUCCUGAAGUGUGGGCAUGGGAGUCUGAUUGGAGAGUUAGGGAGGUAGAGCUGGUGAAUGCAGCUAUCUUUGAAAAAACUUGGCUGAGAAGGACAGGAAAGAGACAGGGUGGUUCUCCCUAUCCUGAGGGGGAGACCCAAGCAUGUUUCUAGGUGAGGGUGGGGAGAAGGGGAGGAGAAGAUGAGAGACAGAAGGCUGAGCCAAGGUCAAGAUCACAGAGGCUGGAAGGAGGUGGAAUCAGGUUCACAGACUGGAGUAGUUUAUGGUAACGGCAUCAAUUUUUCGGGAGAAGCAGGACAAAAGAUUGUCCUUUAAGAGUAGAUUGUCCAUCAAGAGUGAGCAGUGGGGGUAAAUGCUGGGGAAAGUGGACAAGGUUUAAAAUAGUUUCCAAGGCAAUGGGACAGAGAUUUGGCAAAGAACAACUAGAAGGACCAGAGAGCGAUGGUCACGUUUCUGCUGAGAUGGGAGGUCUUGGAUUUGUGGUGGCACCUGUCCACCAGUGGUGCUCAGCACCUGGAGCUCCUUGUACACAAGAAUUUGAGUGAGUGGUUCAUUGAGAAUGGCAGAAGGACAAGUAUCCUGGUUUUGAAGAGGAAGUUGCCCAGGUGACCAACUGUGCAGUCACCACUGGCUUCCUUGCUUUUGGGUUUUGCUCACUUUGCUCCAUUAGGGUUUCCUGUCCCUUCACCUACUUGCCAUUCCCUGGAUGCCUUUGAAAUGAUGCAGCACCAAUUAUUUGGAGGUCAUUAAAUCCAGGUUCCUGUCUCUCAGAAUUUUAAUGGUUAAGAAAUCAACAAGUUCACUUCCCGUGUGAAGGAGACACCCUAUCUCAGUAUUUUCCUAAUUUAGCCAAUCAUCAAAAUCUCCUGGGUGGGUGCUUGUUAAAAAUACUGGGCCCCACCCUAGGCAUGUUAUUGUCGUUAGCUGCCGUGGAGUUGACGCUGCCUCCUGACAACUUAUGUAAAACAGAACAAAACAUUCUGUAUCAUCCUGUGUCGUCUGCACAGUCCCCAGCAUGUUCGAGUCCAUCGUUACAGCUGUUGUACCAAUCCCUCUCGCCAAGGGUCUUCGGCGCCCUUGCUGGCCCUCUGCUUCACCAAACGUGAUGUCCUCCUUUAGCGACUGAUGCCUCCUGAUGACGUGUUCAAAGCAAGCAAGGUGGACAGUGUUCUGUUGUGAUUCAUCAGGUUUUCAGUGGCUAAUUUUUGGAAGCAGAUCACCAGGCCUUUCUUCCUCUUCUGUCUUAGUCUAGAAGCACCACUGGAACCUGUCUACCACGGGUGACCCUACUGGAAUUUGAAAUACCCUAGCAUAGCGUCUAGCAGCAUAGCAACAUACAAGCCACAACAGUGGGACAAACUGACAGAUGGGUGGGCAACCCUAGACAUACUGAGACAUAAUCUCCUGAGAAUGGCAUGAGGACCAGUAUUUAGAACAAGCACCUCAAAUUCUUGUGAGGUGACAAGCAUGGGAAACCCAGCCUCUUGCCCAGUCCGCCGUAUCUGCUGAUAUUCCUCCUCACCCUUCCUCGGCCUCCAGAGUCCGCCCAGCCAGCUUUGCCCCACUGUUCCUGUGACUCCAAACGAUUGGCCAGGAUGGGAUUCUUUCUUUCUCCCUGUACUUCUUUUGAGCGUGUCCCUUGCUGGGGCAUGGGAAAGCCCCAGUGGUCAUUUGCGUUUCUCUGUCUCCCCUGUGGGGCUGAGCAGAAGUGGAUGCUCAGGCGUGUGUGUGGAGUGGCCGGCUCAGCGCUUGCCAGGAUGGAUGGUCAGGGAAGCCUCAAGGAGCCAGCUGGCAGGAGUGAGGCCGCAUGUGAAAGCACUUCAUGAAAGGUGUUGGUGCUGUUGUUACUGGGGGCUGGCUGGGACAGGGCAGGGGCUGGAAGGCCUAGUGGAAAGUAGUAUUGCCACAAAUGUGUAGACUUUAAAAGGGUCUUCCGGGGUUAUCUAGUCCAAUCUCCAUAUUUUAUACAUCAGGAAAUUGAGGUCGAUGGCUUGUCUGAGGCCGUAGCACAGUAUGGAGGCAGAGCUGGGUAUCUGUAGUGUUGUUUUUGACCAAAGACUGCUUGGGCUUUGGCUUUUAGGCAGGGCCUUGGGAGUUAUCCAGAUCUCAGAGCCCCUGGUAGUAGCUGGCCAGGACCCUUCCCACGUCACCACUCACUCUCUGAGGCACCUGGGCAGGUUGGGAAGUGGAGGUAACAUCCACCUUAAAAGGUGUGAUGGGGGGUUAGAAGUCCCCUCUGUAAAGCCCCUAGCCCAUGGUAGAAUCUAGUGUACUGGUUUCUGUGAUGCUCUUUGUACAAUGCUUCAAACUGUCUGUGUGUGUCCUUCCAAUUACAAGCAAUUUUAAAAGCAGAAAGUGUGACUUAGUAAGAACUGUAGACGCUAACCCCAGAGCCUACAAUAUGCCAGACACUGUGCUUUACGUGUGCGCUUGGUGUUCUCACACCAGCCUCUGACGUGGGUCUGUUCCUGCCCCAUCUUACAGAGGAGGAAACCGAGGUGUGGGAAUGACAGAAUCAGGUGUCAGCCCCCAGCCACCCCUUACUGCUUCACUCUGCCUCCUAAGGGCAAUAUCAACCAUCAUACUGUCAGCUGCCAAGCCAAGCAAGGCUCCAGUUUUUUCCAUUAAUAAUACUGGUAGUUUUCUGCUUAUUCAUUUUAUCAUUACCAGCACUUUCUGGCAGAUUGAAGUGUAGCAGGCACCAAAGCUUUUUAUAAAUAAUAAUUGAGAAAAAUCUGUUAACUAAUCUCUUCAGCCUGCCCAAAGCCAGGAGAAAGGUGAAUAAUUGAGUCAUUACACUUCAGCUCCUUAUUUUUCUAGAACUGGAAUGAAGACACUGGUAUAAAAUCAGUUCUGCAUUUGGGGAGAGAUUUUUUUUUUUAGUGAGGUUUACGUGGUAAAAUUCACCCAUUUUAGGUAUCUGCAUUCUGUCAUGUACCACCACCACAGUAAGACCGAGAACGUUUCCAUCACUCCCCAGAAUGUUUCCAUGCCCCUUUGCAGUCAGAGCCUUCCCUGGCUCCAGCCCUUGGUAACCGCCGAUCUGUUUUCUGUUCCUAUAGGUUUGCCUUUUCCAGAAGGUUACAUAAAUGGAGUUACAUAGUAUGUAGCCAUUGGAUCUGGCUUCUUUCAUUUAGUAUCACUUCCUAAUGCUUUUAAAUUCAGUCCUGUCGUUGCAUUUAUCAGUAGUUUCUUUGUUUUCAUUGCUGAGUAGUAUUCCAUUAUAUGGAUGUACCACGGGGAGUAGGGAGAGAUUUUUAAAACAGGUCAGGCAGUAUUUAUCUCAGGAUCCUCAGUGUCCAGUCCCUGAGUUGUUUAAAGCUGUGUACAGACUCACAUCGAAUCCUGGUUGGUUUACUAGGAUGGUCAUGUGAUCUACUAUUUCUUCUCUGUGUUGCUAACCAAGAAAAAAACCAAACCUGUUGCUGUGGAGUCGAUUUCAAUUCAUAGCAACCUUAUAGGACAGAGUAGAACUGCCGCAUAGAGUUUCCAAGGAGCCCCUGGUGGAUUUGAACUGCCGACCUUUUGGUUAGCAGCCAUAGCUCUUAACCACUACGCCAUCAGGGUUUCCAAAGGGCCAAACAGGUUGUGUUGCUUAGUCCCUCUCAUCCUGAACAUGAGUGGUCUUACUGAUGAAGGAGAUUUUAGCGUGGGUAAAGCUGACCAAUUUGUGAUCUUCUGUAACGAGGGAGAAAAGGACGUGAGUGGUGUGGGAAGUAGAAGCUGACCCAGAGACACACUCCAUGAAGAUGAUAGUGCCUAUACCUGUGAGCGCACAGGUGCGGCGAGAUGGAAGGUGGCAGUGUAUCACUCAGACGAGCAGCGCUGCAGUGAAAUCAGAUAUCUUGUUGUCUAUGUUCUCUGAAUUGUAGAUGCUCUGCUAGUAUUUCUUUAUAUUGUUAUUUGAUUCCUCUAGACCUUCAUCCUCCCUGUGACUGUUUUCCCUAUGUAAAUGCCCUCGGAAGGUAUGAACCAAAACCCAAAACCCGUUGCCGUCGAGUCGAUUCUGACUCAUAGUGACCCUAUAGGACAGAGUAGAACUGACGUAUACGUUUCUAAGGAGCACCUGGUUGGUUCUAACUGUUGACGUUUUGGUUAGCAGCCCUCGCUCUUAACCACUACGCCACCAGGGUUUGCUGGGUAUGAGCAGGUCCUCCCAAAUAUUUGGUUGAGCACAUUGUUCAGUAAGCAUUUGUUGAUUGGUUGAUUGAUUACAUGGUGUGAUGCAGAUGUUCAUGGAAUGGUCCAGACCCCUGCUGGCCCAAGGAUGCCUCAGAAUCUGAAAGCUGUCACAGCUGGGUGGAGCUUAGCAACCAAUAGCCCACCCUUUCAAAUCGUUCAGGAGAAAAUUUAGGCCCAGAGAGAGAGAGCAACUUGCCUAGAGUCACUUAAUCCAUUCGGAGGACGAGGACUCAAACCAGGCUCAGGUGUCUCUAUCCUGAGGCCUCUUUCUGCCCUCUGAGAACGCCAACACUACAGUUUGGGAGGGUCUGCCUUCCCGCCUGUGAUCAACAGCCAUGCACAUUUCAUUCUGAUAUUGUAAAUUAGAAAAUUCAGAAAGAAAAGGGCAGAGUGCCAUGCUUCCUUCAGGAAGGUGGCUCCUUUAAAGCCCGGGCUUAUUGUUGCCGACCUGACCUCGUUGCCAUGGAAGCAGCCAGCAGGGCAGCUUGUUCCUAUCAACCUGAGCCCCUGACAGGCUCCAGGAGCCCGCCAGCUCCGCCUGGAGAAGGGGGACCCGAGGAGCCUUGGGAGAUUCUCUUCUACUGAAGUUUUUGUCAUAGGAGUUUAAUUUAAGGGAACAUCAGCUCAUUGAUAGCCCCAACCUGCACUUUCCCAAGAGCAGGCACAGUGGUAGCCUUGGUCCUUGCAGUGGGAACCCCUCCUUUGGGGCCUCUGCUCAGUGCUGGGGUAUCCAUGAAGAGUAUACGACUUUCCUUGCUGUCCAUGGAAAAUCCUGAAGAUGAAAACACGAGAAAGCUUUAACAUCUUAGUCCUGUGCUGCAGUGGGCACUUCAAGAAAGUAAAUAUGGCAGUGGCAUCUGUUUCUUGAAAUUAAUUCCGUUAGGCCGCUGGAUUCCCUUUCUUGCUGAGAUUGGAGUUGGGCAGUGGUGGUUUGAUAACCGGGCAGUGAGAUUUGACUUGUCUCCUCUCUUGUCCAGCAGUUUUUAUGUCUCGACAUUCCUGAGCUUGGUCUGUUUCAUUUCAUGCUGGGAUCACAGCUCAGUCAUGAAGCCUUUAUUAUAUUAACUAGUCAACAGAUACAUUCUUUGAAGAAUUUGGAGUUUUAAUUACUCCACUUAAGCCUUUGGACACGUUGGUUCGGAGGGGCAUUUUGCAUAACUGAAUUCCAGAGUUGACUGUGAACCUUAAAAGAUGAGAAGAUGGUGAGGCCAACUUGUUAAAUCACAGCCGAGGGAAAGGCCUGGGUCGGUCUUCCCAUUAGCUCUUGCUCUCUCCGCGCUUUUAAGCCCUUUCAGCCUGUGGCGUGACGGCGGUAUUAUCAAACAUGCCAGCACACAUUGUUUCGCAGGUCUGUUUUCACAUUAGUUUGGGUAGAAACGUCUCCAACUUCUGUUCCAGUAGGUGGAGAAAGAUGCUUAAAUCCUAGAAGCACUGCUUACCUACCUUUUUAGGGUAUUGCAGGUUUAGCUCGAGGGCUGGAGGGCUUCCAAAAAAGUAUGACUAAGGGGGAAAAAAGACUACUCCCAAAGCUAACAGGGUGGAGUAUCACGGGACAGGAAAAUUCCCAGCAGGGAAACUGCCUGUCUGUAAGGCAGACACAUUGGGUCAUAGAUCUGCUUUCACAGAAUUCUCAUUCCAAGAGGCCCUGUUUCUGCAGGUGUAUCUUUCGAUCUUAGCUUGUGUUCUAUAUUAUUUCAAAUGAUUUUUAUUUUAGGCAGUAUCUACCCCCAACCAAAAAAAAAAAAAAACUAGUGCCUAGCUGGCUCAAAAGGGAGGCACUCAGCCGCCCCCUCGCCCUACCACCAGCACCUAGGUUUAGGGCAGAAAGUGAGACCCACUUACCGGGUGUGUGCCUUCCUUCCCUAGUUGCCUCCUCCCGGUGCUCAUGUCUGGCUGAAGGUCCCUCCAGCCCAGGUUUUCCCUUCCCUGCUGUCGUUCCUCCUUCACCCAGGAGCAGCUGGCAAUGCGCUUCCGGCCCUCAGAGAGCCCGCCUGGACACCCAGGGCCAGGAACAGCCUUUCGUGUUGCCAGGGCAUCUCGUGCCCCUCCCACAGCUGUGCCCCCAUGUCCUCCAGCUCUGAGCGCCUGGCCCACGUGGUGUUGACAGCUUGGACUUUGGAGUGAUGCAGACCUGGGUUCAAAUCUUUGCUCCUUUGAUUGCUAGGAAAUUACUUUUCAGAGCCUCGGUGUAACUCUGGUUGGAAUCUCCCCGUCCUAGGGUGGCUGUGAUUAAAUACUGGAGGCUCAUGUAGCUUCAUAUGCCGCACACAGGUGCCUGGUGAACAUUACUUUCCUUCCCAGCCUGGUAAGUACUCAAACACUGAGCAGAAGAGAAAUGCCCAAUUCAUCUGAAACUCUGAACAAGCAGGCAGAUUCUUUCCUGCGCUGAUGGCCCUGAAUCUUUGGGCAUUGGUGGCCCAGGCUUAGUGUUUUCUCUCUGUUGGGCUCUUUUUGGAGUCCCUAGGAGGUGCAAACAGUGAUCACGCUUGGCUGCUCACUGAAAGGUUGGAGGUUGGAGUCCACCCAGAGGCUCCUCAGAAGAAAGGCUUGGCGAUCUCCUUCCCCAAACCAGCCGUUACAGACUCCCUGGGGUGUAGUUCUGCUCUGACACAGGGGGUCGCCUUGAGUCAGGGCCGAUGUGACUGCUUUGGUUUUUUUUGAUUUUGGACUCUUUUCAGUAUUGUGUGCUGUAUGCAGAUUGCAGAGGGCAAAGUCUGGCACAGAGGCACCGGGCGUGAAAGGAGGAGCUGGGGCCAGAAGUAGGAUGGGAACAGUGUCUUUUAAUGGUAUGCAUUUUUGAUUAAAAGAAGAAAAUGACAACGAUUAGGUUUGUUGGGUACCUUUUGGAUUUUGGAGGCUCAGAAUGUAAUUUUAUUAGGUCACUGCCAUGUACACACAGCACAAAGCCUGCCACGUAGGCACUCAAAAACUACUAUUAAAUCAAUGAAUAGAUAACUCGUGAAAAUAUCGUUCAUGCUGUCGCGUUGAUAUAGCGAAUGACCCAGUGACCACUUUUGGUUGAGUCUGCCUUGGGUCACGCAGAUGCCCUUGUGUUAUCCAGCAGUGGACUGUGAAAGCUCUCUGAGUCCGGUCCCACCUGUGGAGCACGUCUAUGUUCGCUCCUUCAAAGUGGAAGAAAAAAAAUUCUCAUUGUUAGGAUAAUAUGGGCUAAUCGUAAAACAUUUAAUUAAAGCAGAAAUUUAAAAAGUCAUCCCAAAUUCUGUCAUCCUAAGGUUAAAAAAAAAAAAAUUUUUUUUUUUUAAGGUAACCACUGCUAACGUUUUGCAGACAGCUGUUCAGACAUCCCUGUAUGCUUAAGCUCUGGUCAAUAAAUAUUGAAAAGCACCUCCUGUGUGCCCAGGACUUUGGAUUCAUACUAUACCUGCCUUUUUGUAAGCUGCCAGUCUUGUGUACAUGCUGUGGACGUCUUUCCAGUCAGAAUGUGUUUGUGCAGCCUGUGUUUUUAAUGGCUAAGUAAUAUUCCAGUGCCUGGCUUACUCUGAUUGAUUAGGCCAAUCCCUUAUCGAUGGAAAUGGAGGUUGCUUGUUAUUUUCAGUUAAACCAUUUCUAAUCAAACAACAUGACAGCUUGAGCCACACACCAGCUCUUGCCAAACUCCAUUAAUGCCCUGACUCAGGAAAGAAAACUUGUUCUUUUUUUUCAAUUGACUAGGCUCAGCCAUUCCCAGAAUUGAGUGACCCAACCCUGAAAAGAAGGUAAUUGAUCUGUCAGGGGCUGUGGGCAGCAAGGUGGUCUUUGGGAGGGUGGCAUCAGGGAAGGGGCCCUACAGCUGCUCAUCAACCCCACCUCAAUGGAAACAAAACUGCUCUUCCCAAGUAGGAUACUGAUAAGUUCAUAGAACUUCUGUUGCGUGUUUGAAAUAGACGUCAAGUUUAUGGCAUUAGAAGUAAGGAGGUGCCCCAACAAUAUCAAUGUCUUGCACUGACUUACUGCUGGGAGGUGGAGAGCAAGGCCUAAGGGAAACUCUGGGUAUUAAGGCCUCAGGAAGAUGGGUCCUCUGGCAGUGGGCCCAUGGGAGGGGAGGAGAGAGACUUCCUGCCACUCUUGGGGCACUCUGGCCUCCACCCAGGCCUACCUUUAACAUGACUGAAACCAUCCUGUGGAAUGUAGAGUUUAUUGCCAGGAAAAUAAAAUAAAAUAAAUGAGAACAGUCCUUAGUGAUUUUAUUUAAAUUGAGAGCAAAUUCUCUCUCUCGUAUUUUGUUAAUUCUGUCUAGGAGUCAAUUUAUUAUUAUUUAAAAUUGCACAAGGACUCGUGGAGACCCUCUGUUUAUGGACUGUCCACUCUGUGCCAGCCACUGUGCUUAGUGCUAGGGAUGUCCCUGUCCUCCUGGAAGUGAUGUUCUCAAUGAGAGUAGAGUCCCCGUGGUUUUGAUAGGAUGGGUUGUCCAGGUGGGGUUGGUCCUGAGAGUUUGAUUCAGGGCAGGGCCAGGACUGUGGGCAUUGAGGAGUGGACCUGAUUGGAUAGAAGAAGCAGAGAUGGGAUCCACAGGAUUCUGAAGGCAGAACUGUGGGCCAAGAGCAAAGAGUCGAAAGUUCUGGCCUGGGUGCCCUACUUUUGUGGUUCUGACUCUGGGAAGUGGCUUCUGGGGCAGGUGUCUGUCUUCCUUCCCUCCACCUAUAAAUCUGAGUGACAAGAAGGGUAGUGGCUCUGUCAAAUGAGUCUGGGAAUGCCAGAUGCGAAGGGCUUAGUUUGGGGAUGACAAAAUGAGGCGUUUGCUUACUUAAACAACGAAUUCUAGAUGUUUCCCUGUGAGUGUAUGACCACGAGGGUGAUGCUUAGGAGGGGGGUCAAACCAGGGUGGUGGGUUUAGAAAGGGAUGCUAUGGAGGCCGCAGGUGAAGCCAGUGGUUGGGGGUUGAGGAGGCGUUGGUGUUCUCUAGCGUGAAAUGUAGAAUGGAGAUCAGCCUUUGAUCUACUCUCCAGAAGUGGCUGGCGAAUCAGAUGGAAGAAUCAGAUGGAAGCCAUCUGAGGACUUGGAGUUGGGGAGCCUGCGGGGAGGAGGGAUUCAGAGGGAUUGAAGUUAGCGGUAGCCAAGACGGUAGAUUUUUUGGAUUUGGAGAGCUUCUAGAGCAGUUAGGGGGCAGUGGUACAGGCUGUAAUGGGAAGGGGUAUGUGUCCCGCCAUGGCCAGCGAAGGUAGCCUUGUUGUCUUUGUAAAAGGGAAAUGAAGCCAAGAAAGGCUUAGCAACUUGCCCAGGGUCACUGAGCUGGACUCCAAUGUUGUGCUCACCCCAUAUCACCACACAGCCUCUGGGGAGGGGCUGAGGGACAAGUGUUGAGCGAGACCUCAGAGGUGGCCCCCUCGGACCAGUCUCUCCACAGGGUCAGCAGAGAAAAGAAGAGGCAGAGCAAAGGGAACCAUGGAAAGCACUGGGACUUAUUUUUGUGAUUUUUACCUGGGGAGGACGGUUCUGUGGGGAAGGAAAAAUGGAAGCAGGUCUGAAGAACAAGAACACAGCGAUUGGCCUUUUAUUUUUAAAUGCUUUGGUGACAGAUUUAAAACUUGACUGACUUCCCUCUAAAAUAAUCUCACUCUCCAGGAACAACCCCAAGCUUGAAUAAUUUUCCCUAUAAAUCCGUAAGGUAAUAUUGUGCCCAUCUUCACAGCUUCAUAAAGAAAGGAACUUCACAGUGUAGGACAUGCUGACAUAUCAGAUAGUCAAAUACUUGGACUUGGGCAUGAAAAGAAUUCAGUCUUAAAUUUGGUUUAUUUAAACUUUUGUUGUUGUUGAGAAUACACACAGCAGAAUAUACACCAAUUCAGCAGUUUCUACGUGUACAAUUCAGUGACAUCGAUUGCAUUCUUCAAGUUGGGCAGCCUUUCUCAUUCUCCUUUUCUGAAUUGUUUCUCUGCCAUUAACAUAAACUCACUGCCCCCUACGUUUCCUACCUAAUCCCUUGAGUUGCUCUUGUCAUUUGAUCCUAUGUAGCUAGAUCUUAAAAGAGCACAGUGCUCAAGGCUGACAUUGUUUACUAAAAAAAAAAAAAAAUUGUUUACUAGUUAAGCUAAACUGUUGCUUCGUUUUAAGAGGACUUCAGGGAGUAUUUUUGGUGUUAAGAUUUAAAGAUUAUCUCAGGGCUGUAGUUUCGGGGGUUCACCCAGCCUCCAUGGCUCCAGAAACUCUGGAUCCUAUGAGAAUUUCAAAUUCUGUUCUACGUUUUCCCCCUUUUGAUCAGGAUCCUUCUGAAGAAUUUUUUUAUCAAAAUGCUCAGUAAUGGUAGCCAGGCACUAUCUAAUUCUCCUGGUGUCAUGGCAAAGGGGGCAGUUGUUCACAGAGGCAAUUAGCUGCACAUUCAAUUUCCUCCUCCUAUUCCUGACUCCAGUCUUAAAUUUUAAAGUGAACAAUAAAAUCUCUACAAGAAAAGGAAGACAUUUUUUAAAGCCCGCAGUGAAAUGUGUCUCAGUCUGGCUAGAGCUAAUUUGGGUAGAAUCACAUAUUUUGAUAUCUGGGUUUUUUUUUUUUUUUUUUUUAAGGAAACUUUUUAAAGCAGUAAAUUAAAUAUUUUUGGAUUUAGACUGAGAUGACUUACUUAGCCAUUACACUGGCAAUGUGGAAACUUAGGCUAGCAAGGACACCUUCAGAAAGCUUGGCUUCUGUGGAUUGUUGACCCCUAGCAAUAAAAUGUCUGUAUUUUCUUAGGGCCAUUGCUUAAGAAAUUAAUUGGGAUUAAUUUCUUUUGCACCUGAUCUCUAGCCCAGACAUUCACAUUUUGCCUCAUCUGCAGAGACCUGAGCAGAGUUUUAUCUCUGCGUCAUUGCUAAGUGUUCCCACUCUGUUAACAGAGCUAUAAUUAACUCACAGGACGCCAGGCAGCCAGAUUCGGCCAGGCGCCAAGAAAUCAGCCCCAAUUACUAUAUUCACAUUGUCAGUAAUGCCCACUUCACAGCUUCUGCUAAUUUGAAAUGGCAAGUUCCAACUUUCCAUAGUAAAAUUACCAUUUUUGUACUAUUCUAUUACAUGGUGAUAUUUGUCCAUUAUUUUGCCUAUGUAAACUUGGUAUUAUAACGACAAUUAGUUGUUGAGCAUUUUCUGAAAUGAUUUGCAAUUACAUCUCUUCAUUGGAAAAACCACGUCUGCCCGGGUGGAGUGAGCAAUACAUUCUAUCUGUGCCCCAAGUAUACUUUAGGAGUCACCUUUUCAUAGGGGAACGCCAUGUGUGGGGCUUAUGAUAAAGGUGAGCACUUAAAAUAAGGGGUAGCUUAGCAUGCUGUCCAUUUUGUAGAUUUCCAGGGCGCAAGGGGUCUAAUUUCUUUACUGGCUGCUAACCAAAAGGUCGGCAGUUCAAAUCCACCAGCUGCUCCUUGGAAACCCUAUGGGGCAGUUCUCCUGUGUCCUAGAGAGUCACUAGGAGUUGGAAUCAACUAGGUGGCAAUGGUUUUUUUUUUUUUUUUUGAAGUUAUAAAAACAAUGAAGUAUUUCUGCUCCUUGGCUCCUUCACUUCCUGGGGGCCCACAGAGGCUGGUCCUUCGGUUGCUUCUCUGGCCAGUCAUGCCUGCUGCACUUUAACAGCUGUGGUUUCAUGGGGGCUCCUGGUGUGCGGCCCAGAGAAGUGGUCAGGAGUUUCCUAUCACCGCUGACCUUCAGCCUGUGGUGGUGGUGGUGGUUUUUCCCACGGCAGCACACUGAGGUUCCCCAUUUUCCAGAGCAUCUUGUCCCUAAGCAAUCACCUGCCCGAUUCCUGAUGAACGGGGGUCUCACCAGCCUGAUUGGGUUGUCCAUUGUGUUCUGUUUUCAAAAGGGAAACUUCAGGCAGCACUAUCUAGCCCAGUGUGCUAUGCAGUGAAUGUCAGAGUGUGGUCCCAGGACUAUAAACUAUUCGUUAAGUACAGAAAUCCAGAGUAGACAUUCAGAAAUUUCUAAUAGUUUGACAUUACGGGGGCACCCAGGUGGAGGUUUUAUUGUAUGUUAGGAAAAUAUUAGUCCACAGCAGAUUGGAAAUUUAAAAAUCCGUGGUGUGUCCUUUACAACUGAUUGGUGGAGGAGCAUUGGUCAUUAUUAUUUAACAUCCUAAUCUCUGAUUGAAUUUCACAGUAAGACUUUAAUUUGGGUGAGGCACGAUGGUAUUUAUUUUUCUCUCAGGCACUGGUCUUAGGGCACAGUCACUGGGGGGCAAGGAGGAGUGCUGAAAGGAGAAGGAGGUGAUCUCCAUACAGCAGAAGCAGGCAGACCCCCUGUGAGGGGCUCAGGAUGUUCAGUGACCAGCAGCCUGGAGCACAGGCCUCCCUGAGGGGCUGGCAUCUUGGGAACAUGUCGUGCGGGCAGGGUGGCUGCAGCCCAUCAGGAUCUGACAGCCCAGGCCUGUCUCUUGAGCCCCAGAGCUUUCCUUUCACAUGCAGACUGGACUCCUGGACCCCUCCCACCUACUUGCCACCCUGUAUUCCCUCCAAUGAUUCCUGGACCCUGAUGGGGAGUAGUAGUCCAAAGACAGGAGUCCAAUCCCUCCUGGCCCCUCAGCCAGUCAAGCAGCAGUUCCUGACCUUGACUUCCUGACCAGCUGGCACAUCUCCUCUUCCUCUUCAGUCCCAUCCCUCUAGUGCAGGGGCUGGGAAGCUACAGCCCUCAGGACACAUCCAGUCUGCCACCUGUGGCUGUCUGGCCCGUGAGCUAAGAGAAAUUGGAAGAAGAAGAAUAUUUUAUGCCACAUGAAAAUUAUAUGAAAUUCACAUUUCACUGUCCAUGAAUACAGUUUUAUUUGAGCACAGCCAUGCUCAUUUGUUUUGUAUUGUCUGUGGCUGCUUUUGUGCAACAGAAACCAUGUGUCCCGCAAAGCCUGAAGUAUUUACUCGCUGACCACUUGCAGAACGUUUGCACACCCCCUGCCCUUGUGCGUGUACUCUUGUCACUGCUUGUGUAGUUACUAUAGCAACCAUCUAACUGGUCUCAUUGCUUCUGAUCUCAUUGUCUUCCAGGCUUUCUGCCCUGUCCCAGAGAGAUUUUUUUUAAGAUACAGUUCUGAUCCAUUCUCUUCCUUGGUUCAGAUCUUUUCAUGGCAUCCCAUGGACUAAUGUCACAUUCCCUGAUGUGUUCUUAGGAAUACCGGUCCCAGGAUAACAGUACUGGUUAUUAAAGUCUCUGAGAAGUCCUGCAGAAAAGAAACCUACUCAACAUUUAUUAAUCCAGUACCUUCCAAAACUAACCGUAAAAUUAACCUUUUUUUCCAUUAUCUUUUAACAUUCUACAGCAGAAGUUGUCAGACUUUUACUGAAAAAACCCAGAUAGCCAAUACUGUAGGUCUUGUGGACCAUACUGUCUCUGUUGCAACUAAUCACCUCUGCCCUAAAGCAGUCAUAGCCAGUAUGCAAAUGAUGGGUGUGGCUGUGUUCCGGUAAAACUUUACCUAAAAUAGUAGGCAGUGGGCCAGACUUGGCCCGUGGGCCAUGGUUUGCUGAUCCAUGUCCUAUACAAGAGGGUGUAGGACUAGCAGCAUCACCAUCACCUGGCAACUUGUUAGAAAUGCAAAUUCUCAGGCCCCACCCCAGACCUACUGAAUCAGAGAUUCUGAGGUUGGGAGCCCAGCUGCCUGUUUUAACCAGCCCUACUGGUGAGUCUGAUGCAUGGUAAGGUUUGAGAGCCAUAGAACCACAGGAUACACUUUGGGAAAUGUGGACCUCAAGUAUAAAGGCUACCAUCAGCAGGGAUGCAGGGUCCUCCAUAAUCUGGUCUCUGACACUAUCCCUCCUUCAUUUAGCUGAUACUGUACUCAGGCUGAACUACAUGUAGGUUCCAGAACAUGCCCUCCUUUUUCAGACCCAUGUGUUUGCACAAGUGCCCUUCUCUGUGGAAUGGCUUCCUUCUCCAGCCACCACCUGCCUUCCCCCUAAGUUCUACUGCUCAUUUAUGAUUCAGUUCAGGUGUGACCUCGUCUUAAAAGUGUGUUCAGAGCCUCCCACCCUUACCUCUGCCCCCAGCUGAUUAGGUUUUCCUCUUUGCAGUUCUUUGCAUAUUGAGCAGGACGCUUCUUGUGUGUGUUGUACUGUAAUUGUUGACUUUCUUGUCUGCCUUGUCCACUUGGUUGUAGGCCCCUUGAGACAGGGGCCGUUUUCCCCGUCUCUGUAUUCCCAGUACAAAUUUGACACCCCAAAAAUGUUUGUUGAGUAGUUAAAUAAAUGAGCAAAGCAAUAUAUUUGGAGCACUAACUCAGGAGCCACAAAACCUGGUUUCUGAUUGACUUGCCUUGUGACCUUGGCCAAAUCACUUCCCCUCUCUGAACCUCAGUUUCUCCAUUUUUAAAAGCAAGGUUGAGCUAAAUAAUCUUUUAGAUAACACAUUGCUUUAGAGUUUGUUAAAUGGUGAUUGGAUUUUCACUGUGAAGAGGACUGGGGAAGUCAAGUCAGCGCUGCCGGAUUCCUGACUUUCUGUGGUUCUGGGAGGUGCUGGUGGUGUUUAGCUUCGCAGUCAUUUCCUUUUCUCCCCACUCUGACUCACUGAUUGAUUAAUGUUUGAAAAUUGUGACUCAUCUUGUUAGAGAAGGAAAAGGAAAUUUUAUUCUACUCCUUCUCCCUCUCUUUCAAAUAAGUAAUAAAUAAAAGUGGCUGACAUUCUACUUAGUGCAGUUAGAAGCAUUUAAAUACAUUUCUGGUUUUCAUAAUUGGUAGUUUCCUGUUGAAAGGUAUUUAUUAGAAGAAAAAAAAACCUUUGUGUAUUUGUUUUUGACUUUUUUAAUGUAAAACUGUAAAGUGAGCGAGUGUGCGGAGUGGCCUUGCCUAUUUUGGUGCUAGCUCCCAUUUUGCCAUGGGAGGCUUAAAGCUACUUCUCUUUUAGUACGAAACGUGAGGUGUCGCCUCUCCACCUUCAGAGUUUCAAAAUGAAUUCACCAGGGUGGUGAAUAAUGAUGUCUUAAGCACGGCUUAUUAAAUUUGAAAGACGAAGAUGUUCUGGGUUGACAUCGUGUACCAAAUAUAGAUAAGGCCUGGGUCAGCUGGACUCUAAGCCUGGGGCUCACGCUGGUGCCCAAACACAGUUGAAUCUGUUGAUGUCUGUGUCGUCACAUGAAAUUGAGGGUCCGAGCCCGUGGAUAAACAUCCCUUUAAGGGUCUUCUUGGGGGGUUGGGGGGCGGCGGCAGCAGUUCACUUACCACUGUGAUAUUAGAAUUACAGCUUUGAGCUUUACAUUUGCCUUUUAUUCUCUUCAGGUUCAGCAGGUCCUCACUAUUUUAGGCUCUUAGGUCUUCUUGAAAACUUAGCAAAUGAGGUCAACAUCUUUUCAAAUCUAAAAGAAAGCUUAAUAAAUAUUAAAAAACAAAACUGCUUGCUGUCUCAUGGCAACCCGAUCUGUGUCAGAGUAGAACUGUGCUCCAUAGGGUUCUCAGUGACUGAUAUUUUCGGAAGUAGAUCACCACCCUUUAUUCCGAGGUACCUGUGGGUGGAUUUGAACCUCCAGCCUUUUGGUUAGCAGCCAAAUGCAUUAACCAUGUGCACUAAGCAAUAAAUGCUAGCCAUUGUAAUUAUUAUUGCUAUCCUUAUUAUUUGCUAGACACAAUGCCAAGUGUUUUAUGUACUGUACGCAUAUUAUCUAAUUUAAUCUGCACAAUAGCCAUUAUAUCUCUGUUUUAGGAAUGAAGAAGCUACAGCUUAGAGAGGCUCCAGAUUCGUGCCGUCAGGACACACACCUAGGCCCAUCUUCUGUCCUCACUGACUGAGCAGUGACUAACUGUGUGCACUCUGGUGUCCCUGGGUCUGAUGACUGGAAUCACAUGAAGUGAGAAAUGUAUCACACACAUAUUUUAACUGGGAAGCUUUUGAAAUGCAGGUUCCGAGGAAGGAAGCCCACUCAGGUCCACCUUGCCUUCCUCCCUUGCCAGUCCUCCUCUCCCAGGCUGCUGCGCCUGUGGCCCUGGACAAUAUGGACACUGAAGGAAGAGGACAUCUUUCUUCUCAACAAAAAUGGUAGCAAGCAUUUGCUGCUUGCCUUCACCGUGCUGGGCACUUUGCAUUUAGUUUCUGAUUUAAUCUUCACAACUGCCCUAUUUUAUAGACAAGGAAGUUGAGGCUUAAAGAAGUUAAGGAACUUGCCCAAGCCACCCAGCUGGUGAAUGACAGCGCUGGGGCUCUACCCAGGUCUGUCUGAUCUGGCAAGGUGCUUCACCCUUGCGCCUCCCACCCCCACCUCCUAGUGUCUCUGGUAGUGCACGGCUGGGCCCUCUCUCCUAGUUUUGGCACUCCUGGGCUAGUUCAGAAGUCCAAGAGUGUGAUCUAACGGAUGGCCCUGCCAGCUGGCCCUCUGGCAGAUGGGCCUGUGGAUGGUGCCAUGGGGCUAACAGCUUCAACCCUGUGCUGGUUUGGGUUGGGGAGGAGGCCAAGGAGCUGCUUCCCAGUGUGGGGAAAUCAAAUAAUGGGAACUUUACAGAGAGUGAGGGGGCCACAAGCUUGGACUUAGGGACUUGUAACUGCCUUUCAUAAGGGCAGUGUGACAGAGCUAAGAGUCACGAUUUUUAUCGUCGACUAUAAUGCAAUCUGAUGCUUGCAAAGCCUUGUUUAUAAGGUCAAAAAGAAGGCGUUUUUGGAGGAGAGAAAAUUGGCUUAUUGUCUCCCCACAUCUUUCUAAGGGCUGAAGUGCACACACCCCAUGUUCGCAAGGAGAAUCGCAGUCCUCAGUCAAGGCUUUUCUCUCCCCUCCGUGGGAGCUGGGUUUGGAUCAUUGCCCUUUCUGUGUGAGGAGUGGCCUUUACAGAGGCACUGGUUAUAUUUAUCAGCAGCUAACUUGUUAGCGAAUGACACCAGAUAUGCAAAAUUGUAACCUGACUCAUGAAAGAAUAUAUAGCUCAUGACUUGAUUGUAGAACAGAUCUGUUUCUAAAAAAUCAAAUGGAUUCUUGAAUCCACUCCCCCGCCAGAAAACUUUUUAAAGGAUGCAAGCGGAUUGUGAAUUCAGACCUUUCUGGAAACAGUUGUGUAUCUGCAACCUUAAAAAUGUUUAUACACCAUUGACUCACCACUCCCACUUUUUAAGAAUCCACCCUAAGGAAAACUGUUAGAAAUGUGGUCAAAACUUUAUGAACAAGAGUGUUCAUUAGAGUAUUAUUUACAUUACUAAAAAAAUUGGAAUAGCCUAAUGCCCAGCAUAAGGGCAUGGUUAAAUUAUGUUAAGUUCAUUCAUUGACAUUAUCAUAUAACUGAUCGUGUUUUCCAAGAAUAUCUAAUAACCUGGGAAAGGAUCAUGCUAUAAUAAAGUAAAAAAUUCAAGAUGCUACAUAUUUAGUUUUAUGAGAAAAAAAUCUGCAACAUGAAUACAUGUACAUACGAUACAUGCAUGUAUCUGUCACAUAUAUACAAGGGCUAGCGCCCAUGUGUGCGUGGAAAAAGGUUGAGGCAAAAUAAUUCAAAGUCCUGUUGUUGUUAGGUGCUAUCAAGUCAGCUCCAACUCAUAGUGACAGCAGAACGAAAUGUUGCCCAGUCCUGUGCCAUCCUCAUCAUCAUUGCUAUAGUUGAGCCCUUUGUUGCAGCCACGGUGUCAGUCCAUCUCAUUGAUGGUCUCCCUUUGGCAUGAGAUUGUUUGAAUUUUUAAUUUCUUUGUUAUACUUUGGUGCCCUGGUGAUGCAGUGGUUAAGAGCUCAGCUACUAACCAGAAGGUUGGCAGUUCGAAUCCAUCAGCUGCUGCUUGGAAACCCUAUGGGGUAGUUCUGCUCUGUCCUAUAGGGUUGCUAUGAAUCGGAAUCCACUUGAUGGCAACGGGUUUUGGGUUGUUAUACUUUUCUAUAUUUUCUACAGUGAGAAUGUUACUUAAAAAAAAAAAAAAACUAAGAAAAUGUUCAAUUUUGCAAAUAAAAUAAGAAAAGAGUCUUUUUGAGAGACUGGUUGUUUAUUAAUUCGUUCACAGUUUUAAAGUAGGAAACAGCAGUUAAGCACAAGGGCUUUGAAGCCCAACAGACCAGAAUCCAAGCACAGCCGUUCAACCUCCCUAAAUCUCAGUGUCCCUACCUCCAACGUGAGCCGAGCUCUGGUACCUGUCUCUUCAGAGCUGUCGAAAUGAGUAAAUGAAACAAAGUACUUGAGCCUUCAGCUGGAACAGGUAUCUGGAACACUUACUAUUGUUAUUAGCAUUAUUAUCGUCAUUAUUAAAGUCCCAGCUGUGUGCCAGACACUGUUUGAGGUGCAAGGAGUGUUAAAGUGAGUAAAAAUAGCGCUCUUCCUCACAUCUGGAGGAGAGAAGGGAGUGCACAAGGUAAAAAAUACUGGCACCGAAGUCUGGUAGGUGCGUCGAGCACCAGCUGUGCGUGCUGAGCCCAUGAGAGCUCUGCGAGAUCAAAACGGGCUCCUGUGAACUGAGGCUCAACAGGGGUGGGAGCUUGCCCCAGAGCCAGGGUGGGGGCCCAGCCUGAGGCGGCAGCGGUAGCCAGGUUCGAGAAUAUUUAGAUUCCAGACAGGAGAAUCUAGAGAGCUUAAUUUGAGGGGAAGGAGUGAUCAGAAAGAAGUCGAGGGUGGACUGAGGUUUUAGGUUGGGCAUGUGACUAAGAGAAUGUUCUUUUUAAAUCACAGGGACGUGAUACCUUUAUUUUAAGAGAACGUAGGCCUUUUCAGAAUGUUCACCUCACCGGACAAAGUAAAAGUAAGGGAGAUUAGGGGUACUUACCUAGAAACCCUGGUUGCAUAGUGAUUAAGUGCUACGGCUGCUAACCAAAGGGUCGGCAAUUCAAAUGGCUCCUUGGAAACUCUGUGGCAGUUCUGCUCUGUCCUAUGGGGUCGCUAUGAGUCGGAGUCGACUCAACGGCACUAGGUUUGGUUUUGUUUUGGUUACCUGGCAUCAGCGUUUCUUAGUUGCUAGUACUUUUACUCCACAGCCACCACCCCCUCCCCGCCGCCCCUGUUUUAACCAAUUACCUAGGACUAUUUGAUAUUCCUGGCCACUUUGUCUUGCAUAAGAAGCAUUUUAUUCUUUUCUUCUUUGUGAUUUGUUUUUCUCAUCCCUAUGUCAGACCAGAGAGUAUUCCCACCCUAAAAUAGGCUUUCCUGUAGCUUGGGGUCCAGGGCAGUGGUGAUCUUCCCCUCCCCCAUGCUGAUUGGGCGGUUCUUUCUGCUUUUCACAGCAAUGUGAAGAAACCAUGGAAGCCCAAGUCAGAUCUCUAAUUAUUUCUGUUGAAACUGAUUAUAUUGAGGGUGGAGUACAUUGCCUUUAAUUUCUUUGUGUGCGUGUGUGUGUUUUUUUUCCCACAAGAAGUAUAUUCUUUUCUUUCCUGUUUGUUCCUGCUUGAUUUUGGGAGGCUGCUAUUUUCAUUGCCUAAUUAAUGGGAAAAUGUUCUGUUUAGGAUUUCGUCGUGUACAUGUUCUCUGUUUGAACAUGGUGCAACCUGUGGACCCUUUUAAACGUAGUUACAUGCUUGGCUCUUUAUAGAGCAAUAACCAGAUUAAUUUUGCCAUGCUUUUCAGAAUACCAUUGUUCUUUUUGAAAGAAUAGGUUUGCUGUUUUAAUAAGACUUUAAUGCCAUCAAGACGCCUUAAAUUGGCACAGUUGCUUUAUAAUAGCAUGGUCCCUUAAAAUGGAUUUUAGAGAACAUUUUAGGGCUGUCUGGUUGUUUAAGACUGCCUCAGUUAGAUGCUUCUUCUACCCCAGACCGCUGUUAUUGACCAUAUUUAUCUUAGUGUUCUUUUCAAUUUCAUCUUUCUGAAAUUUUUAGCUUAUAGCGAGGUUCAUUAUGUUUGUCUUGCCCCCUUCUAGGUUUCACUAAGAAGAUUCAUUUGUAAAGGAGAAUUGAAAAUUAAUUGGAUGAUUAAUUACAAGAAUCUUGUUCUUACCAAGGAAAGCCAUAGAAGUUGUGACUUCAGAGAAUAUUCCCAAUGGGCCCUUAAUAUACUUUAAAAAAAAUUUUUUUACUUUUAAAAUUUAAAAGCCUGGCUAUGUAAAGAGAAUUUUGUGAGAUAGAAGAUAUUUUUUUCCUGUGCAUUUGCCACAGACUUAAUUCCAUGGUAAGACAGUGUGUUGUCAUAAAAAAGCAUAGUGUAUGGAGGUAGAAGACUCCUCUCCUUCCUUCCUGCAGUCUGCCUGCCUCCCAGCAGGUGUUCACUGAGGAUUCAUUCUUUACCAGUAGCCGUAGCAUGUGAUAGAAGGUGAACUUAACCAAGGCCUCUCAGUGUAAUGGGGACCAUGUCUUGGGGAAUGGCUGGUUAUGGGGUGAGAAAUGAGGGCGUGAGAGAAGUUAGCUUUCUGGCUUGGCCUAUUGUGGGUGGUGCUGUUAAACGAGAAUCUGAAAGAGAUUAGGUGUGGGGUUGGGAGGUGAAGUGAAGAAUGAGGUUGAUUUCAGGAGAGUUUGAGAUACUAGUGGGACCUCCAGGCGUUGCUGCUCAGGAGGUAGGCUGGCCCUGGGAGAGUAGUAUUGAACUGAGCGUAGAUUUGGAAGCCAUCAAUGUGGAGACAGGACUCAGCUGUGUGUCCCCUGGUCACUUCUGGCAGCGUGAUCGUGCCCGCUAAUCCUUGGUUUUCUUUAUCUGUAGAGGUGAUAAGAACCACUGUAAGGUUGCUGAGGACUGAACGAGCUUAAUGCACUUGGAAAUGCUCCGUAAACCCUGAACUGGCUAUAAAUAUGAGUUAUUACUGCUGUUAGCAUUCUUAUGGUAAAAUAUAAUUUGCCAAAACCAUUUGGGAAGCACUACGUGCUACAGCCCCAACCUGGCGAUUUGCAGUAUGUAUUACUGGUUUGUUCAUUCAGUCACCAUAUUGAUUAGUAUUAGAACAGCUGAAGCAGUAAAAUUAAGCAGCAAAUAGAGAAAGAUUGAAGUUGUCAAGGAUUUCAUUUUACUUGGAUCCACAAUCAAUGCCCAUGGACAUAGCAGUCAAGAAAUCAAACGACAUAUUGCAUUGGGCAAAUUUGUUGCAAACCACCUCUUUAAAAGUGUUAAAUAGCAAAGAUGUCACUUUGAGGACUGAGGUGCCCCUGAAUCAAGCCAUGGUAUUUACAGUGACCUCAUAUACGUGCAAAAGCUGGACAGUGAAUAAGGAAGCCUUUUAAUUAUGGUGUUGGCAAAGAAUAUUGAAUCUACCAUGGACUGCCAGAAGAAUAAACAAAUCUUUCUUGGAGGAAGUACAGUCAGAAUGUUCCUUAGAAGCGAGUAUGGCAAGACUUCAUCUCACUUACUUUGGACAUGCUAUCAGGAGGGACCAGUCCCUGGAGAAAGGACAUCAUUCUUGGUAAAGCAGAGAGUCAGUGAAAGAGAGGAAGAUCCUCAAUGAAAUGGAUUGACACGGUGGCUGCAGCCAUGUCAGUGGGCUCAGACAUAGCAAGGAUUGUGAGGAUGGCGCAGGACCAGGCAGUGUUUCGUUCUGUUGUACAUGGGGUCACUAUGAGUCGGAACCAACUUGACGGCACCUAACAACAAAUCAGGAAAAAAAAUUUAACAGCUGCAGCCAGAAAAGAAACACAGGUAAGAAUUAGAUCUGUCUGAAGAACUGAGAAGACAAAUAUAUCGAUUUCAUCUUUUUAAUAUUUCCCCACAAUUUAUCUUGCCGUGGGUACCAUUUUCCAUCUGGCAGUGGGAAUGUGAUUGCCUGGGAACUGUAUGGACACAACCAAAACGUCCCUCAGCAGGGCCCUGAAUUACUCUGUCCUCCUUGGAUCCCCUGUUUAAAUUUUUAGAUGAUGAAAUUUGAUCUUGAUUUUAACUGAAGCUAUUAUGUAUUAAUCUAACAUUUCUGUUUAGUAUUUUAAGCAGUCCUUAGAGGCCAGAGAUAACCAUUACCUGUUUUGCCCGUUUGUUCCAUUGAUUCUACUUUGAAGGCAUAUGGAUUCUGGUUCUUUAUGCCUGUUUCAUAUAAAGGGGAUGACAGACAUAUGCUGAAUAUUCUUCUAUAGGAAGAGUAGAUUUCUCCAGUGCUUUUAUAAUUCUUCACUUCCCUCCUCUUAUGGAAUAACUGUAUUACUGUAUUUAUCAAUCUCAGAUUCCUAAUUUGGCCCAAGGGAUUUACUGCCAAAGUGUAGUGUAAUUUAUGCCUCUUUUCUGCUUUUGCUGUCCUCUUGUUUUCCCCCUUCCAGGACUCUUUCCUGUCCUUGAUUGUUGCCACUACCUUUUCUGAUUCUGUCUGCUAAUGCCUGCUCUGCCUGUCACCUGCCACCUCCCCUGGCUCCUGCCACCCACUGAUACCUUAGUUACCUGCCACCUUUCUCCAAAACCGUCCCCUUCUCUUACCUCCCAGGAAAACUGCUUGUAUAGCACCCACCCCUGCCACCAACUUCAUUGCCAGAAAACGUGCUGGACGUACGGUAUUUGGAUAGUCUGUCCUCCUUUAACUGAUAUUUUGCUGCCACUUGAGUAGGGAGGAAUUGUGUUGUGUUCAUUGCCUGUCCCUCCAUUCAUUUGCUCAGCACAUAUCUAAGUCUGACCAUGAUGGGGCUUCUAUGUUGGGUGCUGGGGUGGUACAGGUGAACAGGAUAGACACAGUCCCUGCACCAGAGAUCUGCCUUGUUCACCCUCCUCACCUCUUCUCACUUAUUCUUUGGAGAGGUUAGGUGAUGAAAUUUGAUCUUGCUUUCAACUAAAGGUACUGUGUAUUCAUCUAGCAUUUCUAUUCAGUUAAUGUGUUUAGCAGUUCUUAGAGAUGGGAGGGCAUUACAUGGAGGAAAGAACAAUCAAAGAGUCAGUGGAUAGACUGGCAGAGCUGAGUCCGUCCUGGCUCGAUCACUAACCAGUCAGUUUCUCCGUCUGGAGUUGGAGUAGUAACCCUGGUAGGGCUGCCGCUUAUUUGUUGCACAUUACCUUGGGCCAAUAUCAUAAUAAGCCCUUUAUUGAUGUAGUUGCACUUCACCUUCUCAACAGCCCCAUGAGGUAGGUUGGAUAUUUUUGUCCCCAUUUCACAUAAGAAGAAAUGGAAGCUCAAAGACAUCUCAACGAGUGACAGAACAGAGAUUUGGAUCCAGGUUUGGGGACCAAGGCCUGUACUCUUUAUUUCAGUAAACAGCAUAUUGGCUUGAAUGAUCAUUUCCCAAAACAUAUUCCAAAGAGCACAAGCUGCAAAAGGUAUUCCUUGAAAAGAGGUUCAAGUGACUAGUUAAAUUUAGGAGCUGCUGAGUUUCCGGUCUACGCCGGUGUUCCUUCCUUCACGUGGCGCUUUAUUCAGCCAUUCCGCACAUAUUUCUUGAACACCUGGGGGGCAGUGAAAAAGUGGCUGAAGUAUGUAGGCUGGGGAGCCAGACCACCUGGGUUUGAAUUCUGCUCCACCACUUACUGUGUGACGUUGACCCAGGCACUUCACCUCUCUGUCUCAGCCAUCUCAACUAUAAAGUGCAAAAACAAUAGAACCCACCUCUUAGGGCUGUUGUGAGACUUAGAUGAGUUAAUACAGAUGUGCUUAGAGCAGUACCAGGUGUGUGAUAAGUGUUAAUAGUAUUAGCUGUCAUUAUUGCUGUGACUGUUAUUGGCUCAGGGGAUAUAAUGGUGUGCAGCAGCACCUCAGGGCUCAAAGAAGUUCAGAAAGAAGAAAGCUUUGUUUUACCCUUGAGUUCUCCUUUCUUUUUUGCCAACAUACUCCUUUAAUCUUGACACUCCUACCUGCAUCCUAGAAACCAGAGCAAAAAGGGACGUGGUGUUGGGAAAUAAUGGUUCAGAUGACUUUAAGACAGACUGAGGCACAGAUCAACAUCCAACAAAAAAACCUAAAUCUCCUUCACACUAUCUCUAGAAUUGGAAUAGUGUCACUUCAGGGUUAGGAGGGCCGCAGCUGUCAGCCAGCCCACACUCCCCAAUCACAGACCUCCCUUGGAGGAUGGUUUUAUUUGGACCAGAGCAGAAAAGGACCUCUUUUUCCCACAAACCUAGUAAAGAAAAAGACCUGACCAACCAACCCGUCACUGUCAAAUCGAUUCUAACUCACAGUGACCCUAUCAAAGGGCUUGUGAAAUGGGCUUCUUAUCUAAUCUCCACCAAAUCUCAGGAGCCUGAUUCCUUCCAAGGUGGAGAGGGCUGGUUAAUGGUGAUGAUGAGUUUUGGCAGAGCCCUCACUGCCGUUGCCUUUAUGCCUUUGGUUCUAUACUGAGCCGAAUUCAGGCAAGCACAUGACAGCGGUGCACCUAUUUCUGGCCAAUUAGAAAAGCUAUUCCCAUACUUUUGCCAGUGUGCAUCCUGAGAAGUGGCAGAUCUGUGUAUCAGGAAUUGUUUCUUCCUCAAACAAGGGCCUUGUGGAUGGGCCUGGUGCCCUAACUCAACUUUGUGGAUCUCACUGGCAAAGAUGCCUCAGUGGCACUGCCCCUUCCCUGGCCUCCAUGCUGACUGGCUAACCAUGCAAGCAGAUCGGGGAGGGAAACUGGUGUGGGUCAGCGGGCUGUGUGGUGAGCCAGGGGUAAGGGCUGGUUGGGGGUCAAGACCUUAGUGCCUGGGGGCCGUGGAGCUAGGACCAGCAAGGCACAGAUCACCUCCCUGCCAGCAUCCCACCCCUGGCUAGGACUGGAGACACUUGCCCCAGGAGCACAGAGUAGUCAGUUCCACUCUGGCCACACCUCAACGCUUUGCCCAAGUCGCUUCAGCUGGACUUUGGGUACUUAUGAUUUCUCAGCCACCCAUUCUUAGAUUGUGGUCUAGGGUGAGUCACUUUAAUGGGUGGCUAAUCUCUUACUUUUUCCAUAGUCUUACUCUUAGAGGAUAAGCUUGCUUUCUGUAUUUUGGAGCUAUCUUGCCCUCGUUCCCCUAAUUGUUUGCCAGUAGCGUUUAAAGUAGGGAGCAUUCUGGAGAAGGAAAGUGGUCUUCAUGUAAUGGUGAGCCGUCCUGUAUUGCGGGAUUACUGGACCAUGGGAAUUUGUGAAGUUGCUGUUAGGUGCCAUCGAGUUGAUUCUGACUCAUGGUGACAACAGAAGGAAACACUGCCUGGUCCUGUGCCAUCCUCACAGUCAUUGCUAUGCUUGAGGCCAUCCUUGCAGCCAUUGUGUCAGUCCAUCUCAUUGAGGGUCUUCCUUUCUUUUGCUGACUUUACCAAGUAGGGUGUCCUUCUGCAGGGACUGGUCCCUCCUGAUAACAUCUCCAAAGCACAUGAGAAGUCUCACCAUCUUUGCUUUUAAGGAGCAUUUUGGCUGUACUUUCUCUGAGAUAGAUUUGUUCGUUCUUCUGGCAGUCCAUGGGAUAUUCAGUAUUCUUUGCCAGCACCAUAAUUCAAAGGCAUCAAUUCUUCUUUGGUCUUUCUUGUUCAUUGUCCAGCUUUUGCAUGCAUAUGAGACGAUUGAAAAUACCAUGGCUUGGGUCAGGGGAACUUUAGUCCUCAAAGUGACAUCUUUGCUUUUUAACACUUUGAAGAGGUCUUUUGCACCAUAUUUGCCCAAUGCAAUAUGUCAUUUGAUUUCUUGACCGCUGCUUGCGUGGGCAUUCACUUUGAAUCCAAGUAAAAUGAAAUCCUUGACAGUCGUGAAGCCAUGUAUGUUAAACCCUUUAUUACUUAUGGAGGAAGGGAGGGAGGAGGAGAGAGAAGAGAAGGAAGACAAGAAGGUGCGAGGAAGUGUGAGGAGUUGAGGAGGGAACGGUUUUAAUGGAAUGAUUGUGCAGACGAGUGAGGCCCCACUGUGCCCUGAUGAAGCCCCUGCCAUGGUGCAUGGUCAGUCAGAGUUUGCGUCCUUGGUAGAAACUGGAAUAAGAGAGAAGUAAUGAAAAAGAAGAUCCACUUAUCCUUGGGAUUAUAGAUGUUUUUCCCCUAAGAGCUGUCCUAAUGUUGUCUUCCUAAUUGUCAUUGCCCCCUGUAAGGUGUCUGAUAUUUACUCAUGCCUUUACUGACACCAUUUGUCCUUCACAUCCACAGUGGCUGAGACUGCUGGAUAAUGAGGGCUCAAGUAUUAGUGUCUGGUUCUCUCUCGUGCAUGGACAUAACAGGUUUAGGUUCGUGCUUCAGGAAGACCACUCUGGCUAUGGUUGGCAGAGACCAGGAGCAGAGUGGUGCCAUACACCCUUGAUGUCAUACAGCUGGUAGGGCCUAGCUGGCUGACUUCCCCGUCCAGCCUUUGCCCUUCUUCUGUGGCCCUCAACACCACUGUGUGCCCCUUCUCCUGUGCUCCUUAGAUCCCACUGAGGUAUGGUUGAGAAGGGAGGGCGCCAGUGGUGCUACAUAGCUGUCCCUGGUUAUGUGGCGCCCCCGGGCAGAGCCUCUCUUCGGCCUUUCCACAGGGGCAGCCCUUGCCUUUCUCCUGGCAUGUGGUUGGCAUUCAUUAACCAUGUGUUUAGAAGGGUCGUUUCUUCUGCAGUUAUUUUCUGAAAGGCAGUAUUCGAAACAGACCCAGUUUAAUUUUUGCUGUCUUAUCUGUCUCAUCCUUUGGCCCAUCUUACCAUUGUGGCAGGGGCAUUUCCUUUCACUGUGUGUUAAGACUCAUGACGUAGAGCCUCAGAAACACUUAGGUUAUAAAGGUUUUUGUAGACACAGAGCACAGCUGACGUUCAUUGGGGACUUAUGUAAGGCACUGUGCUUGGCGCCCCUUUCCUUACUCCCCAGCAGUGCCGCAAGAGGCAGGCCUGAUAGAUGAAGCUCAGGAGCCCCAAAGAGAUGACCAGUUUGCCCAAGCCACGUGGCUGGAGUGAUGGGCCAGCCCCAGGGCCACAGUAUCUCAUUCCUGACAUUUCCCUUCGGCGAUUCUGAUGAGAGGCGAGCUAGGACUUGGCCUUGGUUUUCCAGGCUGGUGGUGGGAGGGGAAGGUCAGGGCCAUUGAGAUGCAGCUGAGUUGACUUUCACAAUGUUAAAAAAACAGAACAAUCGCCAGCAUUAAAAAUGAGGACAUAUAGAUUAAAAGAGAAGGAAGAGAUUUAAGGGCCAGGUAUAACAUCUGGGCCUUAUUUGGGUCUAAAUUUGAGCAAAUCCACAGUAAACCUACGUUUCUGAAACAAUUGGGGAAAUUUGGCGAUACUAAGGAAUUACUGUUUUUACUUUUGGGAGUGGUAAUGGUAUUAUGAUUAUCUUUUUUUUUAGAAAGAAUAUUUUUAGAGAUUCACAGAUGAUAUUUACAGGUGAAAUGAGAUGAUAUCUGAGAUUUGCCACAAAAUCAUGCCGUGGGGAGGUUGUAAAUGAAACAGGAUUGUCUGUGAAUUGAUAAUUGUUGAAAGCGGAUGGUGGGCAUAGGGAGCUUGAUGUUGCAAGUUGGUUGAUGUUUGAAAUUUUCCUAAUAAGGUUGUAUCUCACACACAAAAGCCUGGGUUUCUGAUUUUUCUUGGAAAACCGGAGUAUCUGGGAGUAUCUGGUGGUUCAGACCUGCAUUCUCUCGGGGCAGCUGGAGCUGAGCAGCCGCAGGAGCCUCAGAUGGGUGGGGCCCUCCCACGUGGUCACAGGGAGGGAAGCACAGAAAGAGCCUGGCACUGGUGAGGACAGGGCUGAUGCCACUCCUAGGUGGGUGGAGGUUAGUUGAAAGACGUCUUAGUGGAGGCGGGGUUCCCUCUGGAGACCUGUGUGUGCUCUUGGAGGGUGAAUUACCCACUAGUCAGAGCUCUCUAGCUGUGUUAAUCUGAACACCACCGGGCUCCUCUCCGAGCAGGCGACACAGCCGUUGUGAGGAGCAGGGUGAUGUCUGGGCUGAGCUCUGAGGAUGGGCUGGCCUCAUGGAGCAGAGGGGCAUCUGUAUCCAAGGAAAGGACAACGGAUCGUUUAUUAAGUGGCUACUUGCUAGCCUCGUGCCAGGAAGUACUCGUCCGAGUAGGAUUUGCUAAAUCCACCCCAACACCCACGCCCAACCCAUGACUUGGUCCCCAGCUACCUUUGGAAAGGGACUGUUUGGAAUUUUUUUCCAUUUAACACAUUUGUGACUUAGUGAAGUGUCUCUUUCAAAGACUAAUAAAGCCUUAACAGCUUCUGAAACACCACACUAGACCUGAGAGUAGUUGACAAUUUGGCUGCAGUCUCCAGUGGGAAAGAUUCAAAACUGCAGGUUUUAGAAGCUUUUAAAAGCUUUUUGUUUGUGUAAUGUUCAUUGAAUGCAAAUUUUGGGCAGACAAUGGUCUGUAACUGCUUUAAAGCCUGGGUGUGUAUCUGUCAAUGGUGAAAACCACAAACACACAUGCUGUUUGCUGAAUUGUUUAAUUAAACUGCAUCCUUGAAAUGAUGUGCCAUGUAUGAAGGGCCAAUAUGUGUACCACACUUCUUGAAAGUAUAUGUAAAGGGUCCCCAGAAACAAAAAAUCAGAAUUUAUCCUAGACAAGUCAUUUCCUCUCUCCGCACCUGAGUCUUCAUCUGAAAAUAAGGGAGUGAGACUAGGACAUCACAGAGUCCUUGGAGAAAUUGAAGUUUUCAAGUUCCCUGUUACUUGGAAUAACUGUAACACCUUAGGUUCAGUUCUACUCUGUCCUAUAGGGUCACUAUGAGUCAGACUCACUCAACAGCAAUGUGUUCUGGGGUUUUUGUUUUGGUUUAGGUUCCCUGCUGCCCGGAUGGGAGGCAGAUGAGAACUGGGGGAGGGGCUGGGAGCUGUGGAUGGGCAGACCUGGAGGCUGCCCCCCACCAUGCACCAGACCCCCUGUUGGCCUUGGGCUGGGCGCCAGCUCUGGGAACCCCUUUCCUCUUGGGUAGAGAGGACAUAGUCAGGCCACUUUAUGGGCUUGUGGUAAGAAUGAACGAGUUAGAGCCUGGUAUAAUUCAGUAGUCUUAGUUCCCUUGCCAGAAUUUCAGUGGGGACCUAUGAUGGAUUGACUUGAAUCGGCUAGGCCACGAUUCCCAGUAUUGUGAACUGAAUUGGCUAGGCCAUGAUUCCCAGUAUUGUGAUUUUGUCAUCCGAUGUGGUCUUCCUGUAUGUCGUAAAUUCUGCCUCGUGAUAUUAAUGAGGCAGGAUGAGAGGCAGUUAUGCUAAUGAGACAGGACUCAAUCUACAAGAUUGGGUUGCCUCUUAAAUCAGUCUCUUUUACAAAAGAGAGAAGUGAGCAGAGAGACAAGGGAAACUGCAUACCACCAGGAACAGCACUGGGAGCACAGCAUGUCCUUUGGACCUGGGGUUCCUGCACUGAGAAGCUCUUAGACCCAGGGGAAGAAUGUUGAUAAAGGCCUUCCCCCAGAACCAACAGAGAGAGAAAGCUUUCCCCUAGAGCUGACACCCUGAAUUUGGACUUCAAGCCUCCUAGACUGUGAGAGAAUAAAUUUCUCUUUAUUAAAGCCAUCCACUUGUGGUGUUUCUGUUACAGCAGCACUCGGAUAACUAAGACAGCACCCCUUAGCCAAUGGCUGUCAUUAACCUAAUGAAGUUAAACUACUUGAAUUAACCAAAAAAAAAAAAAAAGACCAAACCUGUUGCCAUCGAAAUGCUGACCUUUUCAUUAGCAGCCGUAGCUCUUAACCACUGUACCACCAGGGUUAAAAAAUAGGCACUCAAAUGUUCCUGAACCUUAAAGAGAGAAACUUUGAGUUUAGAUUGAGAUGGUCAGGCUCUGUUGUCAACAAAAGUGACCAAAUCAUACUUUUUGAAAUCGGAAACUCACCUCCUUUUUACAAAACUGGAAUCCUCCUAAUAAAACCUGGAUGUCAAGUUAGUCUGGAUUGUCAGCUUUUCCAGCGUGCAGGUUUAUGGAAUCAUAUGCUUUCAGUGGUUGACGGGAGCUGAAGAUGUACCAGCCAUUUCAAAGUUGUGAAGCAUAGACUAAAAUAGUCUGAAGCUGAAUUUUAAGCCUCUUUUGGCUGGAUCAAAGAAACCCAAACUUCUAUAAAUACCAAAUUAGGUUUUUAAGCACAGUUUCUAUCUUUAGUUGAAAAUGUGUGCAGUGUGUGCUCCUGGAGCCCAUUGAAAUGGAUCCAUUGAAAUUAGCAUUUACCUUGAAAAAUGAGGCAUUUGUCCUGCCCUGAACACACCCUCUUGGCUUCCAUGUUGGGAUUCCACAGUAUAGACCCUUUUCCUUUCUUAGUUCGUCCCUAUCUGCUCACUGAAGUAGUUGUGGUACAAAAGAGGUUACGCUUUUGAAAACCAAGAAAAACAGACAUGGGGAGAGAACUUAAAAUGGAUGUCCCUCCAUAGUGCAUAAUCUGUAUUUGGGUUUCAAAUGUGUUAUUUAAUGCUCCUUGCAGCAGAUUGGCCAUUCUAAUUGCCAUCCUUGUUAAAAUUCAAAUUAGCCUUUACUUUCCUAGCGAACGGUGACUGACAGUUGAGGAAAGUGGCCCAGAAUCACGCUGAGGGACUGGGGCAGGCAGCCUGGGAUAGAAAACUUGUUUUCUUGAUUGUUCAUGGAGAAGUAGAGACUGGACUUUUGUACUUCCAUUAACAGGUAUUUUAGAAGCAGAGCUUCUGUCCAUAGUGAGCUUAGCCGGGAGGGUUUGGCGGGGGGGAAGCUGCCCUCCCUCUGCAGCCACCGAGAGCAAAUCUACCUCAUAUGCAGGCUCCAGGUAGGCAGACCAGCCCCUGGCCUGGUGGGGUCCGUGGUGUCAGCAGCAGGCCACGUGGCCAGGAUUGCAGAGCCUAAUCUCCAAGAGUGGGAGACGGUCUCCCCAGGAUACUGUGGACCGUCUCAGACCUUCACAUUCCUGAUCAGGGGAUUGACCUUCAGGCCUGCUGACCCCCUUUGGGGUACAGAGGUUCACCAGGGCUGUCUGGGGUGAGAUCUGUGCCAGUUUUGCCUUGUUAAGAGAAAAAGGAGAUAGGGAAGCAGUACAAUAGGAAAAACAGGGAAUUCACUUUUACUCAGCGCCUACUUUGUGCCUGAACACGUUCACAUACAAGCUAGUUUAAUCCUCCCAAGGGCCCCGAAAAGAUACUUUGUAUCUGAGGAGAUAGGCUCAGAGACUUCAAUGGCCUGCCCAAGGUUGUGCUGUCAGUGAGUGAAGGAGCUAAUACUGAGUCCAGGUUGGUCUGAUUCUAAAACCAUGCUCUUGCCAUUAUGCCAGGCCUGCCCUGUCGGGUGGUUAUGUUCUACCUACUAAAAAAGAUCUCACGUGGCCUGCAAAGGUACAUACAGCAUGAUAUGACAAGAAGGCGAUCAGGCUGGGGUCUAGUGGGAAGGAAGAAGAAAUAAUGGGAGGAAAAAAUAAGGUGAAGUGGGCCAGAAUUGGGCAACUCUCCAAGAUACAUUCCACAAAGCCCUGGACCCUUCAUAGAGAUGAGCCACAGCCUUGAUUGUGAGCUUCCUAGCACCCAGUGCAAAGAGGGUAACUUGAUGGGUCAAUAUCCAUGAGCUAAACACAAAGCACUUUGUUCAGAAGAUUCCCUGGUAUUGCAAAAAUUUCUCCCAGGGUCCUCAUAAAGAGGGCACACUUAGUUUUCUUGCUAGUUGCAAGUUUCUGGAAGCCAAAUGCCAGUAACAUGUAUCUUCUAGGUUAGUAGACAGGAUUACAUUUAUCUGAAAGAAGAAGAGAAUUGUAGGUCCACUGUUUGGCAUGUAUACCUGUUUCUAAACGUAGAGGGGCUUCUCUGUCUGGACUUUUGAGCUGUGGGUAACACAUUUUGAUUUCAGCUACAGAGCAAAUGGGGCAUGUCAUUAGAAGCAGAGAAGAUCUCAAUAACUCUCUUUCUGUCCCAUUCUCAGUCUUCUUGGUUCUCUCUUUUGGGGAGUAUGUGUGUAUUAUUUUACGAUAAGGAGGUAUAUAACAAUUUUCUUGGCAGCGUUUGAGACUGGGUGGGUUAAGCACAAAAGGGGAUCUGUUGGGAGGAGAAGGGUAUCUCAUGGAGUCCACACCGUAAACAGCCAGGAAGAGGGCUGGAACACUGAGGGAGCCGGGGAGGCUGAGCACUUCUGCUCUCUGAUUCUGCUUUUUCUGUUGCCCUGCCAGCAGCCUUUCUACUAUCACUCUGCUGGUAGAAUGGGCCCUCACAUCUCCUGCAUCAUUGGGUUUAGCCACCAAGGGGGAGAGAGACUAACUUAGUUCCAUUCCCAAAAUUUCAGGAAAGGACUUUGGCCCUGUGUGGGCCAGAUGCCUCCUUUAGCAUCUGCUGUGUCCAGUGGGUGAGGCCUGGUGUACGGGUACGGUGGAUUGGAAGAGGUGUCAUUGGCAGAAGAAGCAGCAGUACCGAUGGCAAGACAGGCAGCUCCCAGAGAAGAAUCAGACAGGGACCCAAGGGCACUAUCUGUUAGACAGUGGGUGGGUGUUAGGAGGGACCCAGGGACCCUGUCUGUGUGGUAACCAGCACAGGGCAAUGCUGAACAAGCCGAUUCAGGUCUGUGGCCUGAUGCCUGCCAAGGAGUAAUGACUUUCUGUUGCCACUGACCUGGACAGGGUCUUAAUCAGUGACCUUAAGGUGAAAAGCUCUGGAUCUUAUUACUGACCGGUCCAGCCAGCUCCUGCCUUCCUUUAUUCGAUUCUAAAAAUGAUACUUGGGUUUUAAAGGAUUGCUUUUCAGGCAGCUGAAAGCGCUGCUAGCACCUUCUGGUACGCCAGGAGAGAAGAAUCCAGUCUUUUUGCCUUUUCCUUGUCCAGGCCCUCAAAUCCAUCAGAGUGCAUCUUGGAUUGCAGCAAAGCCAGCAGAGCCCCCAGAAGGCACGUGUUUUCCAUGAGGGCUUGUCUCAACCCCGCCCCAUCAAAUUUAUGCCAGGACACGGUCUGCUAACAGGAGAACUUUGGACAGAGGUGAUUGUUGUUGUUCUACUUUGACCAUUUAAAUCAAAGUUUGAUAUGCAUACAGAAAAAUGCAUAAUUCAUUAAGUGUACACUCAGUUAAUUUGCACAAUCUGAACUCAACCCAUGUCACCAACCCCUUGAUCAGGAAACAGAACAUUAUCCCCCACACCCCCUAAAGCCCCUCUCGUGGCCUUUGAGUUGGAAAGAAUUUUAAAGGAAGAAAGGAAAACAUUUACUGAUUAACUAUGAGACGGACACUUUGCAUACUUUUCAUCUUGUCCCAAAUCCUCAUUUUAAAGAUUAGGAAUCAGACACAAAAAGGAUCCAUGACUUGUUCAAGGCCACAGAACUAAAAAAAAACCCAAAACCCAAAAACACCAAACCAGAUCUGUUGCUAUCAAGUCAAUUCUGACUCAUAGCAACCCCAUAGGGCAGAGUAGAACUGCCCCUUAGGGUUUCCAAGGAGCAGCUGGUAGAUUCGAACUGCCGACCUUUUGGUUAGCAGCUGAGCUCUUAGCCACUGUGCCACCAGGGUUCUGUCUCCCAGAUUCUCACUUCACCAUUUCGUCUCAACCACUCUGUUGAAUUUCAUUCUCUCCCUAUCUUUUGUAAAUUGUUAGAAAAUGAAAUACUGUAUUAAUAUUUUCAAAACUUCUUAGGUGGUGAUUAAGAUAGAAAUGAGAAACUAGGAAAUGGGGGCUUUUAAUCCUAGCUUACAGGAAAUUCUAACUAGUAGGAAAUCUAAUUCAGGCAGUCCUGGGAAACAUCACACGCUAUGAGAGGAAAGUCAGCUAAAUGGAGAUCUAAUUCUAUAAUCUAAAUAUAGAUGUAGAUAUGGUGCAGGUUGGCCUUUCCAGCUCGGGAGGGUAUCACUCACUCUGAAAAGUCCCUUUUGUAUUACAGAGAAAGGAGCAGCUCACUGUGACAGCUGAGGAAGGGCACGAGCUUGGAUGUGGGCGGCUUUCACUCUUUAGUCUUUAUAGUCUUAAAUUUUACGGUAAGAAUGGCUUUGUGCAUUAUAUGUGUAGUAAACACAUUGAAAAGACAAGAGGAAAGGCAUCUUAGAGGAGUCGAUGUGGUAGAGCAGGGUGUCAUGAUUUGUGUAUAGAGAGAGGCUCGUAGUGGUGGUUGCUUUUCCUGGUGAUUGUGGAGGGUAGAGGAAGUUAGUCUGCUGUCUCUCAUCCGUGGGAUGGCUCCAUGGGCUUAGACACAGAUGUUAUUGUUAGGUGCCGUCGAGUCGGUUCCGACUCAUAGCGACCCUAUGCACAACAGAACGAAACAUUGCCCGGUCCUGAGCCAUCCUUACAAUCGUUGUUAUGCUUGAGGUCAUUGUUGCAGCCACUGUGUCAGUCCACCCCUUUGAGGGUCUUCCUCUUUUCCGCUGACCCUGUACUCUGCCAAGCAUGAUGUCCUUCUCCAAGGACUGAUCCCUCCUGACAACAUGUCCAAAGUAUGUAAGACACAGUCUCGCCAUCUUUGCCUCUAAGGAGUAUUCUGGUUGUACUUCUUCUAAGACAGAUUCGUUCGUUCUUUUGGCAGUCCAUGGGAUAUUCAGUAUUCUUUGCCAACACCACAAUUCAAAGGCUUCAAUUCUUCUUCGGUCUUCCUUAUUCAUUGUCCAGCUUUCACAUGGCUAUGAUGUGAUUGAAAAUACCAUGGCUUGGAUCAGGCGUACCUUAGUCUUCAGGGUGACAUCUUUGCUCUUCAACACUUUAAAGAGGCCCUUUGCAGCAGAUUUACCCAACACAAUGCAUCUUUUGAUUUCUUGACUGCUGCUUCCAUGGCUGUUGAUUGUGGAUCCAAGUAAAAUGAAAUCCUUGACAACUUCAGUCUUUUCUCCGUUUAUCAUGAUGUUGCUCAUUGGUCCGGUUGUGAGGAUUUUUGUUUUCUUUAUGUUGAGGUGUAAUCCAUACCGAAGGCUGUGGUCUUUGAUCUUCAUCAGUAAGUGCUUCAAGUCCUCUUCACUUUCAGCAAGCAGGGUUGUGUCAUCUGCAUAACGCAGGUUGUUAAAGAGUCUUCCUUCAAUCCUGAUGCCCCGUUCUUCAUACAGUCCAGCUUCUCGGACACAGAUACCCACCAUGCAAUGACUUGCUCGUUGGCCUUUAUGUGGCAAAACCAACCAGUUGCCGUAGACUGAACUCUGACUCAUAGCAACUUCAUGUGUGUCAGAGUAGAACCGUGUGCUCCGUGGAGUUUUCAGUGACUGAUCUUUUGGGAAGUAGAUUGUGCCAGGCCUUUCUUCCGAGGCACCUCUGGGUGGACUUGAACCCAUAGCCUUUCUGUUAGCAUCUGAGCAUGUUAACCGUUUGUACCACCCAGAGACUCCUCUGUAUGGCAAAGGCUGUUUUAUUUAAAAAAACCUUUUGCUACAAAAGUAAUAUGAGUAAUAUAUACCCAUAAAAAUGAAACCACUACAGACAUAAUAACAUAAAAGAAAUGAAAGCCCUUGGUGGUGUAGUGGUUAAGAGCUAUGUAGUAUGCUAACCAAAAGGUCAGCAGUUCAAAUCCACUGGUACUCCUUGGAAACCUGAUGGCGCAGUUCUGCUCUGUCCUAUAGGGUUGCUAUGAGUCAGAAUUGACUCCACGGCAGUGGGUUUGAUUUUUGGUUUUGGAUCUUCCUUGGAAACCCUGGUGGUGUAGUGGUUAAAAUCUACGGCUGCUAACCAAAAGGUUGGCAGUUUGAAUCCACCAGGUGCACCUUGGAAACUGUAUGGGGCAUUUGUACUCUGUCCAUAAGGUUUGCUGUGAGUCGGAAUCGACUGGACGGCAGUGUGUGUGUGUGUGUGUGUGUGUGUUUCCUAUCUCCUCCACACUCCAGAGGUCUCCACUGUUAAUAGUUUAGUGUAUACCCUUACUGGUCUUUUUUGUUUGCACACAGAAACUUCUAUAUGUCUUUUUCUAAGCACAAAAAAUAGAUCUCCGUCUGCAUGUUCUUGCACAUCUUGCCUUUUCUACUUAGUGAUACGCCUUUCCAGCCUUCUUGGUUAGUGGGACAGCUUGGGGCAGCUCCACCUCAUUCUUCUCCCUGACUGCCCGCUCUUCCUCGGUAGGGUCGUAACACGAUCUGCUACCUGUUCCUCUACGGAUAGACGUUUGUGUUGUCUCCAGCUUCUCACUGUUACAAAUAGUGCUUUCCUUUGGACCAUCAGGUCAUCUUUUCAUAUCCUUUAUCCGUUCUUCUAGUGGGUUGCUUGCCUUUUCUUAUUGAUUUAUAGGAGUUUUAUUUUUUAAAAUUGUGGUAAAAUAAAUACUACAUAUGUAUACACACGUGUAUAAAAUAAAUAUAUAUAAAAAGCAAACCAUUUGCCAGUGCAGCGAUUUUUACAUAUAUAAUUCAGUGACAUUGGUUACGUUCAUCAUGCUGUACAACCCAUACCAAAAUCCAUUUCCAAUUAUUCCACCAGCAUUAACAGAAACUCCGUGUCCCCUAAACAAUGACCCUCCCUUCUGUCCACUCCCUUCUACCCCUGGUAACCACUAAUAAGCUUUGAUUUCUAUACAUCUGCGUAUUUCAUGUAAGCGAGAUCAUACAGUACGUGUUUCUCCUUUUGUGACUUAUUUUACUCAGUAUAGUGUUUUCAGGGUUCAUCCAUGUAGCAUGUAUUAGGACUUCGUUUCUCUUUAUGGCUGAAUAAUAUUCCAUUAUAUGUAUGUACCACAUUUUAUUUAUCCUUUCAUCUGUUGAUGGACAUUUAGAUUGUUUCUACCUUUUGGCUAUUACGAAUAACACUGCAGUGAACACUGAUACAUAGGCUUCUGUUGAUGUUCUUGCUUUCACUUCUUCUGGGUAUAUACCUAGGAUUGGGAUUGCUGGGUCAUAUGGUAACUCUAUGUUCAAUGUUUUGAGGAGCCACUAAACGUUUCCACAGCGGUUGUACCAUCUUACAUUCCCAGAAGCAAUAGAUGAAGUUCCAAUUUGUUCAUGUCCUCAUCACAUCCAUUAAAAAAAAAAAAAAUCAUAGCCAUUCUGGUGGGGGUGAGGUGGUAUCUCAUUGUGAUUUUGAUUUACAUCUCCCCAAUAACUAAUGCCAUUGAGCAUCUUUUCAUGUGCUUGUUAGCCAUUUGUUUAGGAGGUUUUUUAUAGCGUAUCAUAUUAAUUCUUUCUCUCUUAGGUAUUGCAGAUAUUGUCCCUAAAUCUAUCAUUUGUCUUAUAAAUAUAAAUAUUUGUUUUACAGUCUUUUGCAGUAAUUGUAUAAUUCUGGUUUUUCAUUGGUUUCUUUAAUCUGACAACAGUUUUGUGUAUAUGGUGUGAGGUAUAGGGAUCUAACUACUUUUUCCCCAGUGCAGUAUUCUUUUAAACACUCUAAAUAAAAGAGAACAGCAGUCUGUCUUCAGGAGAUGGAGAAAUGAGCCAAAAAAGAUGCAUAAGCAAUUUUUAUUUAAAAACACCGCCGGGAGCAAAAGUUUGAAGCGAAUUUCCCCUAAAAGCUGACACUUGUUAGAAGUGGUAGCCUGAGGGCUCUCAAGAAAGCGGUAAGGGCGUGUUUCUACCAUCAACCUUUCCUCCUCUUUACCUUACUUUUUUGAGCGGCCAUUAAAGAUGACUGGUGGCAGCAUUUUGACAUUUAGGAUGGCGGCAUAGUUAUAUAUGUUGAAAAACUUGAAAUUUGCCUCGGUUAAUCUCCUGUGUCUCAUUAUAUUGGAGGUGUAAAAAUUCCAUGUGUCUGUUUGUACAAUUGUCCUGUUACAUCACAGUUCAGGGAAACAAGAGUAACAAUAACUUAUAUUACAUAGAAUUGCUUGAGUUUGACUUUAUUCCUUUUAGUUGAUAUUGAAUCUAGAAUUUGAAUAUCCUUUUUCUUUUCUACUUUUAUUUUCCCCUUUUAUUUCUCUUCUCCCAAAGAUACCAACUGUCAGAUAACCUCUUCCCAUCCUUACGAAAGCAUCCCUUUUUCUUCAGCUCACAGGCAUUUUAGAAUUCUCAGGGCUCCAUGCCUGCCACCAUUCCUUCUUGUCUUUGCUGAGACUGUGAAAAUCGUUUGGCUAGGCUGAAGCUAUUCUUUGAAGAAGUAUCAUUAUUCUAAAAUAAAAGAAGAAACUUCCUUCUCUAGGGGCUGAGAACUAAGAAUCUCAAGCUGAAAUCUUGCCUUUUCAGCAUGAUCGUGCACAAGGGAGCAGGGGAAGGAAAAAUCAUGUGUUACAUGAUGAAACCUUACGAAGCUCUCUAUAGCUGACCCCUCUCUCCUUCUUAAAAACCUUUUGUUUCCCCUCUGACUCCUGGGACACCAGAGGCUCCUGGUUUAUCCCACCUUGUUAGUCACUCUUUGCUGGAUUCCCACCCCUGCUCAGCCUCUAAUGUUGGAGUGCCUAGGAGUUUUUGGGCCCCUACUGUCUCGUAUCUUUAUCUCUGUCCCUAGGAGAUCCCUUUCACUGUCUUGGCUUUAAAUACCAUCCUUAGAAGGAUGAUGUCCAUACGUUGUUGUUAUUAGGUGCCAUUGAGUUGGUUCCGAAUCAUAGUGAUCCUGUGUACAGCAGAACGAGACACUGCCUGAUCCUGUGCCAUCCUCACAGUCGUUGCUGUGUUUAAGCUCAUUGUUACAGCCACUGUGUCAGUCCAUCUCUCUACCAAGCAUGAUGUCCUUCUCCUGAUAACAUGUCCAAGGUACGUGAGACAAAGCCUCACCAUCUUCCCUUCCAAGGAGCACUCUGGCUGUAAUUUUUCCAAGACAGAUUUGUUCAUUUUUUUCGCAGUCCAUGGUGUAUUCAAUAUUCUUCGCCAACACCAUAAUUUAAAGGUGUUAAUAUUUUUUUUUUUAAGUCUUCUUUGGUCUCCCUUAUUCACUGUUCAGCUUUUGCAUGCAUAUGAGGCAAUUGAAAAUACCAUGGUGCACUUAGUCCUCAAAGUGACAUCUUUGCUUUUUUAACACUUUAAAGAGGUCUUUUGCAGCACAUUUGCCCAAUGCAAUGCAUUGUUUGAUAUCUUGACUGUUGCUUCCAUGGGCGUUAAUUGGAUCCAAGUAAAAUGAAAUCCUUGACAACUUCAAUAUUUUCUCCAUUUAUCAUUGUCAUGGAUUGAAUUAUGUCCCCCCAAAAAUGUGUGUGUCAAUAUGGCUGGGCCAUGAUUCCCAGUAUUGUGUGGUUUUCCUCCAUUUUGUGAUUGUAGUUUUAUGUUAGAGAGGAUUAGGGUGGGAUUGUAACACCCUUACUAAAGUCAUAUCCCUGAGCCAAUACAAAGGGAGUUUCCCUGGGGUGUGGCCUACACCACCUUUUACCUUACAAGAGGUGAAAGGGAAGCAAACAGAGAGUUGGGGACCUCAUACCACCAAGAAAGCCGUGCCGGGAGCAGAGUGCGUCCUUUGGACCCGGGGUCUCUGCACAGAGAAGCUCCUAGUCUGGGAGAAGAUUGAUGAGAAGGCUGACAGAGAGAGAAAGCCUUCCCCUGGAACUGAUACCCUGAGUUUGGACUUUUAACCUACUUUACUGUGAGGAAAUAAAUUUCUCUUUGUUGAAGCCAUCCAUUUGUUGUAUUUCUGUUAUAGCAAUGCUGGAUGACUAAGAUAAUCAUGAUGUUGCUUAUUGGUCUAGUUGUGAGGCUUUUAAUUUUCUUUAUGUUGAGGCAUAAUCCAUACGGAAGGCUACAGUCUUUUGUCUUCAUCCAUAAGUCCUUCAAGUCCUCUUCACUUUCAGCAAGCAAGGUUGUGUCAUCUACAUGUCGCAGGUUGUUAAUGAGUCUUCCUCCAAUCCUGAUGCUGUAUUCUUCUUCACACAGUCCAGCUUCUCAAAUUAUUUGCUCAUCUACAGAUGGAAUAAGUAUGAUGAAAGGAUACAACCCUAACACACACCUUUCCUGACUUUAAUGUCUAUAUAUCAACCCAAAUUUCCAACUGUCUGCUCUACUCAACUUGAAGAGACAUCUCAAAUUUAACAUAGCUUAAAAAAGAACUAUUGAUAUUCCUCCUAACCCCACCCCUCCCUACCAUCCUCCUUCAUCUUGGAAAUCACAUCACAGGUCAUGCAGCUCCUCAGGCUAAAACCUAGGUGUAACCCUCUUCCCUUACUCCACACGUGCAAACCACCAGCAAGUCUGCCCUACCUCCUGAACAUGCCCUGGAUCUGACCACUUUUCUCCAUCUGCAUUGCUGUCACCUUGGUCUAAACCAGUCAUCUCUCACCGGGCCACUGCUUCCAUUCUCGGCCUCAUUUUUUACCCUGCAACCUUAGUAUUACUUUUAAUUAAUACUAUUCAAAGCAUGCAGCUGCCCUGGGUGGACCCUUUGAUGCCUUCCCGUUGUCUCAUCUUCCACAGUCCCUGGGGCCUCUUGGGACCUGGCGCCUGCUGUCCCUCCUCUGUCUCACCACUGCCGCCCUCCCUCGUUGUGCCAUGGCUGCUUGGGCCUAGUCAUCAGUCCUUGAACUUGGCGGGCGUGCUCCCUCCUCGCAGUCCCUCCACUGUGCUUUCUCUACCUGACAUGCCCUGAAAUUCCACGGCCAGCAUCCCAGUCUAAGGCAGGGCCUCAAACUGGUUUGAACUGGUUCAGUCAUGGGCAACGAAGCGAAACAAGAACAGACCCAAAUUUUUACAAUUUGGGUGAUCCGGAAUGAUAACCAGAACGGGAAAAUUUACGUCAAAGCCCUGGAAUGGAAGACUCCGAAGAGGCACAGUGAGGCCUUUCAUGAGCCUAAGGCAUGAAAUUGGAUUAUUGGCAGGACUGUGAAGAGUGACAGACAUUCAAAGCGGAGCUGUCCCCUACCAUCUUUGGGGGGGUGGCUCUCUGUUUCUGACUACUGGACAAGAGAUUUGGUUGCUAUGCAACACGUACGCUGCCCUUGUUUUCUAAAAGGGAGAUUAAGUUUCUAGUAGGUCUUCAACCUGUAAUUUUUCCUAUUCCAGUUCACCCAAAUUUUAAACGUUUGGGUCUGUUCUGGUUUCACUUCCUUAGCCAUGACUGAACCAGGAUGAACCAGUUUGAAGCUCUGGCCUAAGGUCAUUUUCCUGUGUUACUAUCAGACCUUACCUUGCUUAUUUUCCCCCUUUUCUGUCUGUCUCUAUCAUAAUGCUAAUCCCACAAGAGCAGGGACCCUUUUUGGUCAUUUUACAGUUGUGCCUCCAGCUCCUGGCACAGAGCCUGGGUAUAAUAGGUGCCCUUGAAAAUAAGUUAAGUAUCUGUGGACUGGCUGGCUAGGUACUUUUGUAGGCAAUGAUCACUGGUUACCGAGUGACUGGCCAGUAGUACCUCUGCUUUCUGCCCUUUCCCAUAAAACUGUGAGUGCUCCAUUUAAUAGACAGGGGUUCUUGACUUCUAGACAAGCAGGCAGAUAGAAGCUCUUAGUGAAACAUUUUUACUACUCAGAAAAUGUUCCAGGAGAUGACUAAGAAGACCUGGGGCCGGUGUUGGCCGAGGCAGAGGAGGGACUCAUCAGUCAGUCAGGAGACCCCCUUGGGCUUUUACCUGAACCAGGUCAUCACACCCAGGGGUGGAGCUAAGUUUGAAUUCCAUAAUGUUUAAAAGUUUGAAUUUUUGGCAAAAGCCUAACUUAAGAAAUAGCAUGAAAAAUUGAUGUUCUUAGAUCUUAAAUUGCAAUUAGGUAGACCAUGGAAUUAAUUAUCAGUAUAAUAUUUUAAAUCAAGUAUUGGGUCUUGCUAAUAUAAUAGUAACGUCAAAGCAGCCCUAAGGAAGAGAGUGUGGGGUUCACUUCUAGCUGCCCUUAAUAAGUUUGUGAGUUUGGGCAAGAUCACCUCCCUCCCUGGGCUCAGGUUUCUCCCUUCUUUGUUCAUUUGUUGAUUCGAGAAAUGUGUUUUGAGCUGGUAGCUGCCAGGCGCGUGGUAGGUGUUGGAGUGUAGCGAGCAGGGCCUGCAGUUUAGCUGUGCAGUGGAAAGGCUCCGUCCAGCUCUGCGCUUUUGACCCCCACGGGGUCAUUCCGGGUUGGGAUGAUUGUGAUUAAUAUUGUAACUAAGAGGGCUGCCCAGAGCAGUGAUAUUUCCUCCCUGGGAACAAGACUAUAUGGAGUGAGAAUUUUGUGUGAACAAAUCUGACUAGUUCUCCGCCUGGUACUUGAGAGGACAGUGUCAGUGUAAAGUUGGUGCCAGAUUCGUUCCCAGGUGGUCCCUGGAAGACUUGGGCUUUCCCCCCAUCUGUCCACCCUUCACGGGAGAGUCGCUGUGGUAGUGGCAGCCUCCUCCCGAUCUUAGUCAGCUCUUUACUGCUUAUAUUCCCCUUCCCGUGUGGUCCUCACCAUAACCCUGGGACCCCCACCCCAGGAGAGGGCUCAGACAGGUCCUGGAACCAGCCAGCUGCAUCCAGACUGGGACCCCGUCCUUUUCUCUCCCCUCUCUGAAUCCAGCCUUUGCAGUCUAGUUACUUAACUCUGGAGAUGGUUUUUUUUCCAGAUGUGUGAGGUUUGGUGUUCCACGCUGUGUCUUUUGGAAUUUUGGGAUUAACCUGUGAACAUCAGGUUGUCCCUGGGAGCUCUGCACCUGACUACGCUGACACAGUAGUUCAGCAGGAUUGGUCCACAGAGUGAGGCUCCACCUUCUUUUUGUGGGCCAGCACCCCCCACACACACAUACCUAUCCCCUUUAUCCCACCCUGGUUCUCUGGGGUAUGGGCCUCUCCUGAUACGUUACACAUCUGUUGCCUGUCUUUCUCCACGAGGAUGUAAGUUUCAUGAAGGUGGAAACCUAUUGCACUUUUAUGCCACAAUCUGGACUGUAGCUGGCUUGCAUGUAGUAGCUAGUGAAAUGUUUGUUGAACGAGCAGGUGAAUUAUCAGUCUGGAGCACUGAAAGUGAGUCUGGUGUGGGCUUCUUGGGGCAGCUGAUCAGUGGCUGAUGGAAGGGAGUGCGCCUCUCCAGGAGGGCUAGCAGUCAGUCAGUCUCUUUUCUGGGUGUGUGUUUAUUUCAGUUACAUUUAAAGAGUCCCGAACGGUAUUCAAAUUGUGAACGCACUGAAACUUGAGUAGCAACUGCCAGAGCCUCUCCCGUUCCCAGUCUGGACUCUAAUAAAACCAGGGAGUUUUCCGUUGGUCACACUGGCCCAAGGGAAAGGCAACUUUUGUUUCCGGCAUUCACCAGGGUUAUCUGAAAUGAGAAAGUAACAAAAGGGGGGCGGGGGGAAGAACCAAACCCUGUGAGGUUGUACGAGUGUAUCUGUGCAGGUAUUUUCUUGCCUGUUGAUUGCUGGAUUUUCUCUUUACCUGCACUGCAGGCUAAAAAGUAUGACUCAGAGAUGGCCAAUAAUACAGCAAUUCAAAGUGGUUUACCCUUCAAGCUUUCUCUUCUUCCCUGGUUGUGGGUGCUGACUGUACGUGUCCACCACAAGAAGGGAAAGCUGAGUACGUUCUGGCGGCCUCCUUUUUCUGGCUGAGGUGUUGUGGGCCUGUGGGGGAGGCCAGAAGCUGGUGCCUAGACUUGGCUGCUGCCCUGCCGUUGGUUUGCUCGGGACCUGUGGGUUUGUGUCUGUCCCUGCCGGGCCCUCCCGGAGCCCAUGCUCAGAGCCAUCUGCCUUCUUCUCUCCUCUGUCACUGCUGCUGCGGCCACCACCACCAGCACCACUGUCGCUGAAAGCACUCCCCAUCUCCUAGACAGUGCAGGAGGACAGCAGUCCUAGAAUCAGUGUCAGGAGGAGGGGGGACAAGUCACAUGCCUCUUGAGCCAGAGUUUCCUCAUCUCUGAAACAGGAACAGUGUUAAUCUCCUCCCUGGGCAGUGACAGGAACCCACAGAAGUGUUCGUCAGAGUGCUUUGUGGCUGCAAGUGUGUGGUGCCCAAGGAAAGCACUGAUCAAUUGAUCCACACAUUCAUUAAACAAAUAGUUAUUGACAGUCCACCUUAAGAGGAAGGAAUAUUAUACAGCCAUCAAAAACUAAAUUAUAAGGUUAUUUAGAAAUGAGGAAACAUUUAUGUUGGGGCAAUAACGAGGCAGGAGCCAACGGCAGACUUCUCUGUGAUCACUGUGGUGUUGGCAUGAUAUGCGGCACUGGCAGGCAAAAAGAAAACAGCGCUGUGAGGGACAUGGGAUUGAGUGUAGGUAUUUUGAAUAUAAAUUAUUUCUUCAGUGCUAUUAUAGUCACAUUCCUUACGGUAAUUAUUCUUAGGGUGGCAACCUCUGUCUUACAAAGUAAAGCUUGAAAAAGAAAGAGAAGCUAGCAUUUGUAUAAAACUCAGCCCAGGUGCGGCCCAGGUCCUCAGGAGCCUUCCCUGACACCCCUACCCGCCAAUUAUCCCUCGUCCUGUGGUCUUAGAGUUCAAGUCCUUUUCCUGUGUGUUCCCAUGAUCCCCUGGUCCUGCCCCUGAUGACUGCACUUAACAAUUAUUUAUGUGUCAAUCACAACCAUUAGCCUACAAGAUGUUUACGUACCGGCCCCGUGUCUUACUUAUCCUUACUUCCUUGUUGGUAACACAUAGGUGUAUCCCACGUGGAUGGGACAAGUGGGUGACUCACCUUUCUAAAGCUGUUUCCUGAUCUGUAAAUGGACUGAGCCUGCAGGAGUGUUGAGAGACAGUGCGUAUGACAACCUCAGUCUGUAGGUCCUGGGACACAGAAGCACUCAAGAAACAGUCUUCUCUGUAUUGUGUGGAUUCCAUUUUCUAUGCUCAGGUUGUUCUCUGGGGAAAAAAAGAAAAAUGCAUGCAACAAGAACCCGCCCUGCACCUUAUUGCCCUGUGCUUUAUUAGGCUGUUUUUACUUACUGUUUUGUGAGGGUCCUAUUGGACCGAGCUUGGAGCGCCACGCACUCCCUGCGCUGCACUUCCAGAAGGCACUCAGAUGGCCUCGGCCAGGCGGGCAGUGGGGCGGCGGCUCAAUCUGGGAAACCUAGAUGUCAGUGAAAAAUGCUGGAGGCGGUUGGCAUUCACAAAGCCUGGUCAUAAAGCCAGCGCGUUCUCAGUGCAAAUGAGCGCUGUUAAAAAUAAAACGUACGAGAAGAAAUAUAUUUGAAUAUGAGGGCACUGCAAACAGUUUUGCAAGGUAUUAAGAUCACAUUAAUCUUAAUUUUAUUAUAUAUUAAAGUUUUUAACUUUUCAAAUAAUGCAGCUUCGUUGCUUUAAAACAUCUGAGAAUUAUAGAGCUAUUUGGUGUGGCUGUCAGGAAAGGGCUCCUGCCAUUUAUUGGGGCCCUGGUUUUAUUUAAUAGCCAGAUGAAUGGAACAGUUAAUAAAAGAAAUAUUGCUUUAUUCCCUGACAUUUAUGUCCUUGGUUUCCAAUAAAGAAUUGAAAUUAUGAAUAGUUGAUGGUUUAAAUUGAUGUUUUAUGUUGAACGCUAGCUAUAAUUUGCCCUCUGAGGAUUGUAAUACCGAGAAACAGAUGGUUUUUCACAGUAACAAAUUGCUAUGUGUAUACAGUCUAUAGUCUUGGCUUUCAGAUACUUUCACCUUCAGUUCAGAGCUGCCCUGCUGCUGGCAGACUGGGGGAGAUGCAGCCUGCCUUGGAAGGGGCUUCCUGCCCUGGGGGAGAUACACAGGCCCUAGGAGUGCAGCUGUGGCUAAGGCCUGAUGGUGGGGAGGUGCAGCCAGGCUGUGCUCCUGGCUGCAGCUGGGACCUGCCCUGCAGCCCAGCAUUUGGAACCGGCCAAGAGGAGUGCUCUGCCUUUGGAGACAGCUUGUCCAAGGUCACGGUAGCAGCUCUGAUGCAGCGCCUGUGGCAUUCCUGCCUGUGACAGUCAGAUACUGGACCCUCUGCAUUGCAGACUUCAUAAUCCCUUUAGAACAGGCAAAGAAGAGGAGUAGGAAUGUGUUAUGGCUGCUUGGAGGUGCUUACAGUACAGGGGUUAAGAGCUCUGGCCCUGGAAUCAGGGGGCCAGGAUCCUGGCCUGACUGCUGCUGACUGGCUGGGAGACCCUGGGGAUGUUUCCUAAACUCCCUGAUCUCAGUUUUCUCAUCUGUAAAAUGUGAACAAUAGUAGAAGCUGCCUCCUUGUUGUGAGGAUUAAGUGAGGUUAUCCUUGUAAAAGAGGUCUUUUUUUAAAGAUCUCUUUAAAGUGGUAAAAAGCAAAGAUGUCACCUUGAGGACUAAAGUGUGCGUGACCCAAGCCAGCCGUGGUAUUUUCAAUUGCCUCAUGCAUGCAAAAGCUGGACAGUGAAUAAGGAAGUCUGAAGAAGAAUUGAUGCCUUUGAAUAAUGGUGCUAGGGAAGAAUAUUGAAUAUACUGUGAACUGAAAGAACAACGGACAAACCGGUCUUGGAAGAAGUACAGCCAGCAUGCUCCUUAGAAGGGAGGAUGGCGAGGUGUCUUCUCAUGUACUUUGAACGUGUCAUCAGGAAGGACCAGACCCCAGAGAAGGACAUCAGGCUUGGCAGAGGAUCAGCAAAAGAGAGGAAGACCCUCAGCUAGAUGGAUCGACACAGUGGCUGCAGUGGGCUCAAACAUAGCAACCAUUGUGAGGAUGGCACAUGACUGGACAGUGUUUCGUUCUGUUGUACGUGGGGUCGCUAUGUGUCAGGACCCACUCAGCGGCACCUAACAACGACACAACAUCCUUGUGGAACAGCACUUAGCACAGUGCAGGGCACAGAUAAAUAAGUGCUCAGUAACUGGUGGCGAUGAUAAUGCUUAGCAUGGGAAGCCGGAAUCACAAGACAGGUUGAUUCCGUGUGAUUUUUAACAGUACAAAAGCUUCGUCGUCUUCAGGGCAAGUCACCACAAGGGUUCUUUAAACAGCAACAUACUAAAAAAAAAAAAAAAAAAAACCUGUUGGUGUCAGGUAGUUUCCGACUCAUAGGGAGCCUGUAGGACAGAGUAGGGUUUCCAAGGCUCCAGUCUUUACGGAAGCAGAUUGCCACAUCUUUCUCCCGUGGAGCGGCUGGUGGGUUCAAACCGCUGACCUUUCAGUUAGCAGCAAAGUGCUUAACCACUGCGCCACCAGGGCCUCUUCAGCAACACAUUAAAGUUACACAGAUUUACUCUUCAGGCAGUUUUAAAGGAACAUGGCUUCCAUGGAUGCAAGCCACACAAAAUGGUGACAUUUGCCAAGUGUGUAUGUUUUGUUGGCCUUUGAAAUUCCCUGAGCUCCUGGAAGGAGACCUGGGCCAUUGCAGCUCUAGAGGCCAAGGCCAGUGGGUCUUCACCAUCAGCUUGGAGAUUGUAAGAACUGGUAGACCAUUUAGGAAUAUUACCGGGUAGAAACUGGCAGGCCUGGUUUUAAGGUGUAGUUUUGCACAGGUGAUGAUGAUGAAGAUAGAAUUCUUAGUGGAUCAGGGUGAGAUCUUAAUAGUUUGUGAAAUUUCAUCAGUUGAGAUAGGUGGCUGUUUUCUCUAAGAAGACUGUUGAAUUUCGUAUUUUUCCUUCUUUGGAUUGUGCCCCAAGAGCUGGUUUUCAAGACAUUUAUUUAUUACUCAGAAUACAAGACUCUUUUCCAUAGGAAAGACAGUAUUAUAAAAUUGUUUGUGUUCUCAGUUAAUUGAAUAAAAACCUGUUCGUCUCAUGAGUCACUAAGAGAGAGCCCGCAGCAUUUCCUGACGACCUAUUAUGUGCAACACUUAAUAAUUCCACUUGAUCUUCCCAACAAGGAUGAGAAGCAAGGACCUUGGCCUUGCUAUCUCACAGCCUCCUCCGCCAUAGGGACCUCAAGGAUGAGCUCUUGGGCUACCCCCACCUGCACCAUGGUUGACCUUCAGCCUGGGUUCUGGCUAUAGGACAGAACUGACGUGUUAAUUGGUUAAUGUUUGGGGCUAAGAAAAAGUGGACCUGAAAUGACAUUGACUUGGCGUGAGGAAACUAGGGCCCUACUCUGGACCCUCCUGCUCUACAGUAAAUGUCUCUCUGUGGACUUUUCCCCAUCUGUAACGUGAGAUUAUUAGACAGGAAUACUCACCCUCCAGCACUGAUCUGACCCUCUGAGGGCCCUGCUCCAGAUCCUUCAUUGUCUCCCUGUGGGCUAAAGGACAAGUCUGGCUCCCUUCUGUGCAGCCACCGUGACGUGGCUCUAGCCUCUGCCCCAGGCUUGCUGAGGUCUUUGGAGUCUGAAGCCCAGCAUGUGGUUUGUCUCUCUGGCGCUCAUAGGAGGCAUCAAUAACUGGAAUGGAUGGAGUAGCUGUACGCAUGCCAAGGCACUUGUGGAGCCGUGAUGAUAGAGUGAGGAUGAUAGAGUGAGGAUGCUUCGUCUGUCCUACUCGUGAAAUUUUGAAGGUGGAGGGAGGGGUGCGUAUUGCCCACUGCUCGGCUAUGGCUCAGGUACUUUGUAAUCACAGUAAUCUAUUGGGAAUAGCUAGUAGAAGAUUCUCAUAUCAUAAAAGUAGGACCACUGCUUGUUUUGAAGUCUUAUAGAUUAUAGUCAAGUUAAAAACAAUUAUUAUUAUUUUUUAAGUAAUUUGUUUCAUUAGUUAACUGCGAGGGGCCAUUUCCUGGCAGCUCCACGUGGUAAUGGAGAACCUCAGGCUCCCUUUGAAAGCACCCUGACUCCAUGUCUGUCUUACUCACUAGAUACAAGGGCAGAGAUAAUACCUUUCUUAGUCACCUCGGUGUCCUUAGCACCCAGCUCACUGUGUGCCACAGAGGAUGUGCCCAGAGCCCUUGGCGAUCGGAGGGCUGCAUCGGGGCCCUUGAAAUGCUGGUGGUCUGACAAGAGACAGCAGAUGAAUGGGAUUGGUCUGGAUCUGUAGCAUUCCAUAUUACACCUAUUAAAAACAAAUAAAACACUGUGUUAGACUAGAAAUAAGUUUAAGUGAACUAUAGACAAGAAAAGGCCAGAGAAGGUGAAGAUCUUUUUGUUAAAAGCUGUUUUCCAUGAGUCAGCCAUGGAGUCUAAUAAAAGUGUCCUCAGCUAAUUCCACACAGCUUGUAUCAACCCAUUUUGGGGGCUGGGGUGGGAGGUGAGAAAUCCAGACUGAACUCUGAAGUUCUUGGCGAGCUGCAAAGAAAGUGUUACCUCUCUCUGGCUGUGAAAGCUCAGAAGCUCUAUUUGUGGUGUCCACGCUGUGGUGUGUCUUAACUGUUCUUCCAACUCUUUCUCAUCCGCUGUGGCCCUCUGAAUCAUCACCAACUUUGCUUUUCUUCACCUCCUACCUCAGAUCUACUUCCCAAAGUCUCAUCUCUUUCCUACUGUUUCGCUUUUGUUCCCAAUUCCACAGCUUUGUUCAGGCUUCUCAUCUUUUGUAUGGCCUACUGCUAUAGCCUUCUAAUCCCUCCUGCCCCCGGGAUGGGGUCUGGCCAGUCCUUUCUGUCUCCACAUUUAUUUCCCAAUAACUUCCCAUUUAUUUCAGGGAUCUUCUUGGCUUCCCAGGGCCUUUGGAAUGACGCCUCCACACCCUGCUGCACCCUCAAGGCUCUUUGUAACAGGUCCCACGCCCUGUACCAGACAGACACAGCCUCUGCCUUGGGUGCUUCAGGCAUCCUGAGCUCAGGCCACUUAGGUUCCCUGCUGGAAGCGAGAGCCCAUAUCCCGGAGCCUUUGUGGGUGCUUGCCCUUCCCCUUCCUGCCUGUCAGCAACCUGCCAUCUUACAAGGCUCCGCUGCGGUGCCUGUCCCUGUGUGAAGCCUUCCCAGGCCCUCUCUCCCCCUCCUUUCCCUUCCCAUAGCACUUACAUCAUUCUGCCCUGUCUCACUGUGGGGCCAGCGGGUAUCUUCCACCAGACUGUGGAACCAGAGGCCUUGUGUGUUACAGAUUCCACAGGUGGCCCCUGGGCCCCUCACCUCAAGGACUUUGUGUGCACUGAGUGAUGAUAACAGCAACAAUGGCAACUUGGUGCAGGCUUUCCUUCCCUUACUUCAUUUAACCACACAGCAUCCCAUCGGGGCGGGUCAUGAUGUCUUGACUUUCCAGAUGGGAAAACUCAGGCCCAGGAAUGUUGGGAAGAUUCUCCAGCUCGCGCACAGGUCACAGAGCUGCCAGGGGCAGAGCCUGCAUUCACACCCGCAAUUGAGCUUUCCACCCUGGUGCUGGCUCUGCUAAUUUUAACCAAAGGCCCUGGCAUAUGAAGGCACUUUGUGGUAUUUGGAAGCACUUUGGAGGUAAUGAAGCCACACCGUAUGGUCUGAUGGAAGCUGAGGCCGGUGAAGUGAUUGCUGGGUUCUCGCAGUGACUUAGGACCAAGCCAGAGGGCUGGCUCGGAUAUCCUCACUCUCAGCAAAGGUUCCUCCAGCUGCUGUACUCAGAGGUUCUUGAAUGCUUUUAAGUGCAUGGAGAGCAGGAGAUACACCUGCCAACCACCACCACUAGGGUAGCUACAGACAGAGAGGGAUGGAGCAUGAACCGGCUUGACGGAAAUCACUCGAAAUACAAUGUCUCUGUAGCUGUUUCUGGGGCUAUAGUUUGUAUGGGUGCUUCUAAUGCUCUGGGGAGUGACUACAAGCCAACUGUGGACGCCACCACUGUGGAGAGAAGAAUGAUGGGGAGAGGCUGGGAGGGGAAAAAAGGCACUGAGAUUUCCCUGACCUUAGCACUGCCCAGAAGAGUCAGUGCAGAGAGCAGUGAUUGAGAAAUUUCCGCUGAUCCUCCCAGGGACUUCCCCCAAGCUCAUAUUGUAUGUCCUCCUUCCACAGGUGAAGAGCCAAAGGCUCAGCACGACCCAGUGCGUACAGUCAGUAAGCAAAAGAGCUUCUUUGGCUUCGUGGCUCUUGUCCUUCCCUUUUGUAGAUGUUUCUUCUGGUUCCUCCGUGAUGGAUUAGUGCUUAGCGCAGGGUUUUGUAUUGGGAUGGCAUCAGCGCACAGGCAAGUGUAAAUGGAGAGAAUGAGCUUGAAACAACACCAGAUAAGUAGAGUAGCUGCUAAAUGUGAGUAACAAGAGCCUGGGAUUUCCCUAAGUUCCCGUCUGUGGUCAGGGAGGACUGCUUGGCUGUAUUUCUUUUGUAAUUAUCCCUCAGCUCUUAGCGCUUUGCACCUCCUAAUGCUGCCCGUGUCCUCCGGUGGUGAAGUACUGCGGCAGAGGCUGCGGAUUGCAGUCUGAUAGGCCGAAGGCCACAGGAGGAUUUUGAAGUGCACUUUUCCUUUCCAGUGGGUAUUUCUUCAUCACUGAGCCUAUUCAAUGCUUUUUGAAACCUCCCAUGGGACAUGCGGCGCCUACCCCCCAGGCUCAGAAGGGAAGCACUUCCCUUUGAUGGUUCAUGAGGCCCAGCACUUCUGGUUUCACUUCAUUAAAAACAAAGUAAAAAGAAAAGGCUGUCAAAAGACAAACAGCACUGAAAACAAAACAACAUGGGUUCACCACCACCACCAUCAAGGGGAAAGCAGUUAAGCGUUAUAGUACGCCAGCUGAAAUUUUGUACCCAACAGAAGCCAGGGCACAGAGCAGAUUUGUUUGUCCUCCAUUUAGGAAACCCUGGUGGCGUGGUGGUUAAGUGCCACAGCUGCUAACCAAGAGGUCAGCAGUUUGAAUCCACCAGGCGCUCCUUGGAAACUCUAUGGGGCAGUUCUACCUCUGUCCUAUAGGGUUGCUAUGAGUCGGAAUCAGCUCGAUGGCAGUGGGUUUAUAGAAUUUAUGUGCACGACCAGUUUUGCGGAUGAAUUUCUGCUAGAAUUUAUAGCUGCAUAGCCGAGUUUAUUAAAUUUUUAUUUCUGCUUCUUUCAAAAAUAUCAAUUGAUUAAUCUGGACUUUGUUCUACGAGCGAAGGGGUUGAGGUCAGUCCUUACAGUUGUGAUCUGCGUCACCAAGUAAGUAUGGCUAGGGCCCCAGAAGGUCAGGGUGGGAAGGGCCUAACAGGCCACUCUUCUAGUCCAGAGGUUCCCCACCAAGUUCUUCACAGCUCAAGAAGAAAUGGGGAGGGGAGCAGGGAGCAGCCUAAAACCCACCUCCCCUGUCUUCAGCUAGAGCCUCUCUGUUUUUAUCUGCUUAACAGUAUUGUGCAUCCAUGCAGAUGUCGUUUGAAAACAGUGUUCUACAACUAAGAAUACAAAAAAGUUUGAAAAGUAAUACCUUAGACUCCAACCUCUUUUUUGAUGCGGGAAGCUGAGGUCUACAGAAGGGAAGUGAACCAACUGAAGCAACCAGCUAGUGAGCUGGGUCCAGACUGUUAUCUUGCCCUUGACUGGUGAGUUCCCGAGGGCCAGCAGCGUGUCAGUCCUGACUGUGUGUCCAGUGCCCAGUGAGGGUUGCUCCAGAAAUGUUUGUAAGGUGAAACAUCAAGAGCUGUUUCCCAUGGCCAUAUGGUGACAUUAUUUAGGUCUUAUUUUAGUUUGGCUGAAGUAUAUCCAGAAUGUACAGCAAGGAUGUUGAGCCUUUGUCUCAUGUACUAUGGUCAUGUUAUCAGGAGGGACCAGUCCCCAGAGAAGGACGUCACACUUGGUAAAGUAGAUGGUCAGUGAAAAAGGGGAAGACCCUCAACUAGAUGGAUUGAUACAGUGGCUGCAACCAGGGGCUCAAGCAUCAACGAUUGUGAGGAUGGUGCAGGACUCGUUUUCUUCUGGUGUACGUGCAUGGGACUGCUGUGAAGUCGGAGCCGACUUGACAACACGUAACAACAACAACAGAGAUAAACUCAGAAUAUGAAUGAGCAAAAAUCUGACCAUUAUGGUUGUACCUAGAAGAUGAUACAUGAGAUUAUUAACAGCGGUUAUAUCUGGGGAGUGGUGCUACCGGGACUUUAAUUUUUGCAUGUGUUAUUUGAGGGUAUUUUUUGUUCACAGUAAUUGUUUAUUACUAUAAAUUAAUGUAAAGAACCCUGGUGAUGCAGUGGUUAAGCACCAGACUGCUAACCAAAAGGGCAGCAGUUUGAACUCACCCAGUGACUCCACAAGAGAAAGACCUAGUGACCUGCUCCCAUGAAGAUUACAAUCUAGAAAACCCUGCAGAGUAGUUCUAGUCUGUCCUAUAGGGUCGUUGUGAGUUGAAAUGGACUCGAUGACACACAACAAAACAACAACUUAAAAAGUUAAUGUAAGAGAUUCCAGGGUGGUCCAGUUAGCACUGGACUACUAACUGAAACAUUGGCCGUUCAGACCCACCCAGAGGCAGCUUGGGAGUAAGACCUGGCAGUCUGCUUUCCUAUGGAACAGUUCUUCUCUGCACACAUGGGGUCACUGUAAGUCAGAAUCAAUUCAGUAACAACAAUAUAAAUUAAUAAAUAAACAGAAAACAAUAUUAAAAAAAUAUACCUCCAGCCUUCACAUCUGGGGAACCUCUGGCUACUGCAAGGAGGGCCCAGACUUAGUUUGCCAGAUUAUGUCUGAUUUCAGCCCUGGCUGGCUGGGUGGCUUUGGAAGAGCCGCAGAUGCUCUGGUGAGGGGUGGUGUUAAGAUGUGUCUGGGGGUGGCCCUGUGCCUCCCAGGGGAACCCCUUACCUUUCCAUUUUAUAGUAUAUCAGAGCACUGCUGGUGCAAGAAAGAAGCAAAUUGCCACUCAGGGGGACUGUGCCCUGGUUUGUUAAUUAAUUUAUUCAUCCCUUCCACAAACCCAGGCAGAGUAGAAGGAGCUGCUCCACCACUCAUUAGCUGUGUGGCCUAGGCAGUUUCUUAGCCUUUCUGAGCAGUUUGGGCAGUGUCUCCCUGGGGUCUUCCUGGCUGUCGUCCUCUCCCCGCCUCCCACUCGUUCCGUGGCCCCUUCCACCCGGUCUCAGCGCACCUGAACCUGCGCUGUGUCGCCACUCGGAGAACACUGGCCAGCCUCGUUUAGCGCAAGUGCCCUCCUGGCUUUUGUGGCAUGGUGCCCCCGCCUGACUUUCCUCCACCACUUCCAAUCUGCCCCAGCCUCCUGGGCUCCCUGUCUUCAUCUCUAUGGUGUGCGCUUUAUACCUGCAGUCUCUCUUCAGGAGGCUGGGGCACUCCCAGCACUUUGAGACUCUGUCCUUUCAGCUCCCAGACUCGUCCAGCUCUGGAUCAUUUACCAGCUGCCACCCAUGCCACCAACAUGGCACGUCCAAAGCCAACCUUGUAAACUCCACAUGCUCAGGUUUCCCACCACCCUGGAGGUGGCCCCAUGGUCUACGGAACCACUCCAGCCAAAGCCUGAGCAUGACACUUGGCAGUGCCCCUCCCUCUCUCUACCUCUCUUGUCAACACGUUACUAAGGCUUGCCAGUUUAUCUCCUCCUUGGCUUCAUUAAUGUUUCCUCCGUCUGUCUCAUUUAUCUAGUGCUGCUAUAACAGAAAUACCACAAGUGGAUGGCUUUAACAAACAAAUUUAUUCUCUCACAGUCUAGGAGGCUAGAAGUCCGAAUUCAGGGAGCCAGUUCUAGGGGAACACUUUCUCUCUCUGUCAGCUCUGGGGGAAGGUCCUUUUUAUCAAUCUUCCCCUGGUCUAGGAGCUUCUCAGCUCAGGGACCCCAGGUCCAAAGACAUGCACCACUCCUGGCUUUUGUUUCUUGGUGGUACGAGGUCCUUCUCCUCUAUGCUGGAUUCUCUCUAUUAUAUAUCAAAAACGAUUGACUCAAGAUACAACCUAAUCCUGUAGAUUGAGUCUGCCUCAUUAACAUACCUGCCUCCUUAACAUCAUAGAAGUUAGGAUUUACAACACAUAGGAUAAUUACAUCAGAUCACAAAAUAGAGGACAAUCACACAAUACUGGGAAUCGUGGCCUAGCCAAGUUGACACAUAUUUUUGGGGGACGCAAUUCAAUCUAUAACACCAUCAUACCUUUGUGGUCAACGUUUUUUCUCUCCUAGAUCUCUGAUGAUAUUAUUUUGGCAAUAAUCUCUUUGGGACAUCUUUGUCUGCUUUGCAAACCUUACUUGACUUCUCAGAUUCAUGCUUUUUGACCUGGGUGGAAGACUUCAUCUCUCUGUGUUGUUGCCUCCAGGAACCUGCUUGUCAUUUACCUUUCAAGGCUGGUACGAAAGGUCAUGAUUUAGAUUUUGGAGGGCAUUUGAGAACUCAGAGUUGUCUCGUUUGACUAGGAGAGAAACAUUAGAAACACAGGCAGCCUUGAUGCCUGGCUGUGGAUGGUUGUAGGGAAAUGUUGGGGACUAGAGUCUCCAGGCUCACAUGUCUCCCCCAGCUUCAACCACUUUGCCUGGAUUGCUUAAAAAAAAAUCCACUUCACAUUCCCUUGAGAAGGCCCUUUUAAAGCCAUUCUGGCUUGCUUAUUCUUGCCACAUGGACCUAAAAAAAAAAAAAGUUCUUUAUAUAAACCUGCAGAAACUAUACAUGGUGAUCAAGAGCAUUGCCUACUGCGUCAGGUUCACCCUGUUCUUUCCAUCCUUCUCUUAAAAAUGAAUGACUCUCGUCCCUACUUCUUAUAAAAUAACACCGUCUGAAUCUGCUUGAUUAAAUUAGGGCCUUACGCCUUUUGACUAAAUGACCUUAUUCAAGAAUCUUGAGUUAAGGGUCAUUUAUAAUAAACAUUGUCAGAGCUUCCGUUAACAGUUUACUUGGGAAGUACUUUUGUCAUAGAGUAGAAAAACAAGUGCAAAAAAUAACCCUGCAGACAAUUAUAAAAGGUUUCUAGAUAACAGUUGUAAAAGAUUAGAUUUUCUUGCCGAUGUUUGAAAAUGUUCAUUGGCUGGUCGUGGAUGGAUGGGCCAUGGACGACGCCCUGGUGCACACAGAGCAUUUGUGUUUGCGGGGUUUAGCAGAUCGAUGCGGUGAGGAGUUGACAGUAUGCUUGGCGAUGCUUAUUCCUAUUUACCCAAGAGAUGCAGGGCCAUCUACGUAUUUUACAUUUUGAUGGAGAUGCCUGACCUUCUUGUGAAUAGAGAACUCCUUACUAUACACUGUAUCAGCCCAGAGCCUGGGGAGCCAUGUUGGCUUCCUGUCACCCAGACACUUUAAGCAGAAGGGGACAGAAUGCAUAUGAGUCUGGCUGGAAGGUGACUGUGAGCUCUUCUGCAUCUCUGUCCUCUGCUCCAGGUCAGUAUUGGGCAAGGGUGCCAGGAGGAAGUUGCUUAGAGCCAGGCCACAUGCUUCAAGCCCUGCUGACCCUCUGGGAACCCCCUCCCGGACCUGGGGAAAGCGCAGCCUGUGCAUCUGGCCAGCAGAGGCCCAGCUACUCAGGUGCACUGCAGCACGUCAUUGUCCUGGUUUGUCUCUUCCCAGCCUGGAGAGGCUCUGAGCAGCUUUGCUGGUCACCGUGACAAGGCCAAGGCAGGAGCUGCUUGGUUUCUCAUGGAGAAAAUGCCAUGAUGAUCCAAAGGUGCACAACUUUUAUUAUAAUUUCCUUCCCUACUUCCCCCUCCCCCAUCCUUUUUCCUUCUUUCUUUGUUUUGUGACUCGCUAAGUGUAGGCCGCUUGUUCUGUUCUCUGUGGCCAUGUCCUUACCUUUCCAUCCCGUGUCUGUCCAUAAAAACCUUAUGUCCCCAUCAGUGUUCCUGUCCAGUGCAGCCUCCUUCAGGAGACUUCUGUGGCUAGCUCCCCAGACAGGGUCACCCCUCUGGGACCCCUCGGCACCACAAGGUCCCAUUAGCCUAGCCUUGAGUUGUCAUCGUCUUUGCACGUGUCUGUUAGGUCUUACACGGGGGCUUUUUCUCAAGUGCAGUGAUGAGAGCAUUGGUUCUUGUCAGCACCCUGAUCUCAGUCUGCACUAGGCCCUUCCAUUUACUAGUGUGGUCCCAAGACAAAGUCCUGUCAUCUCUAUCCUCUGCAUCCCCUCCAUAAAGCAGGGAUAACAAAGGCACUUGCUGUCAUUGGGUGGGUGUGAGGAUUGCAUGGGUGCACAUGAGUUUCACGCCUGUGGUCAGGAAGGGCAACGCUGUUGGUGUCUCCAAAAUCUCAAUGGACAUUGCUGUGACUUUUCCAUUUACUGACACUGAUACCUACUUUGUAUCCUCUGAGCCUUAUAUCGGCUCUACAAGGCUGACGUUAUCAUCCCAGUUUUACAGACAAGAAGACAGACUCGGAGGUUAGGAAGCUGCUGAAAGCCAUCCAGCCCAUCAGUGAUUGAGGCUGGUUCAGAGCCGUUCAGAGCCUGGUGCUUUCUUGGGAUUCUCCCUCCCCAGGACUGGGAUCAGAGUGUCCAGGAAUAAGGCUGACACAGGCGCCUACCUUCCAGCCCCCAGUGCUGCUAGGCUCUGUCUGGCUCCACAGAGCAGCUCUGUGACUCGGCGCCCGCUCUGGAAUCUCAGUGAUUCCUGAGACACAGGAGCACGGGCACCCCCAGCGUUCACCCAUCGACUCAGUAACUGAGUCCUGUGUUGUUGCUGUGUACCUCCAGCCGCGGGUGGAGGUUGUGGCAGCCUUUCCCUUCCCUUCCCACGCAUAGACUGGGCAUCUGUGGGUGAGGAUUGCAGAGCUGUACUUGGGACUCAGAGGUUCUGCCUUCCUGGGGUGGGUGGGGGUUACCAACGGAAGCCCCGGGCGUCGGGCACAGCACAGGUUCACUCAGGACGGCUUGAACUGUAUCAGUCAUCUUCCGGUACCACCAGUGUUGCCUCUUUGGGGAGAAGGUGUUUUCCUGCCCCAAGCUUAGCCUGGUAGGGUUUAAGGAAGAAGAGGAAAGGAGGGUUUUGGCUUUCCCGACUUGAGCCUUCCUGAAGGUAAACCUAUCACCAGUGAAAACAGUGGCUCUUUGGAAUUGAAAAAGCGGUCAGGGCCUCUGGUCCUGGGAAAGGCCUGGGCCAGGGUGGAGGGCCCCCUUCCCAGAAUGCUCUGCAGCACGCACCGGCAGAGUGCUAUUUCCUACGCUUAAGCGUCAGUACCCAGCCCUUUCUUCCUCCCUUCUUAAGUCAGGGGAGUUGCUAUGUCAGGGAUAUGAGCAAAAAGGCCCCACCUCCCAGGCUGUGGCUGGGCUUUGAAGUGCCUUUCCUCCUGCCUCAGACCACUCUGCUGUAGGAUGCCUCCUGCAGUGCGUCCCCUUACCCCCCAAAGGAACCUGGCAUGUCAACAAGGAAGUGCCUUGCCAAGUGCCUAGCUUCAAGGGGCUUCCUCCUUCAGCUCAGAGAGCUUCCCAGUGUUACCGAUAGGCGGGAAAGACAUGUUCGCCUCCACCACACCGUCUACCCCAUGCCACAGAGCAUCUGCUGUCCCUUUACCAGCACUAGGCAAGGAAACCUGACAAGUGGGAAGUGGGGGGCUGGCUCCUGGGCUACCACAGGUCUCCACCCAUUACCUGGGUAUGCUUUGGUGAGAAGCUACUCUUCCUUCCUCUGUCUCAGCAUGUUCAUUUUUCCUACUGGCCUCAUCAUUUGCGCCAAGCCUGUUGCCUGUGCCUAAGCAUGGCCCCUUGACCCUUAAUGACAAUGACCUUGAGAAAAUUCCUUCAGAAUCUCAAUCUUCUGGCAAACACACAAGCUCAGAGGAGCUGACUGUUCCUUGAUUUAUGUCAGCUGCUUCCAGAAAGCAAGCUUGCCACUGCACCUAGCCAGCAUCCCACAAUUACAGUGUGCUGCCCAGCUGAGGCUGAUGACAGAGUACCUGAGAAGACCCCCUGACAGCGUACAAUGUGUUCAUCUUCAGCAAGACCACUGGUGGACCAGUUUCUCCCAAGAUUAAACUUUCCUGAGGCCGUCCGGGCUGCCCCGGGGGUGCUCAGGCUUCUUGGUUUAAGAUUAGUGACAAAUGUAUUGAACUGUAUUUAGUUUAAACAUAUAUAGGUUUUGAAGUUUUUAGGCUUGGUAAGAAAAUGAAAUCCUUUGUCCCAGAUCAGGCCCUGCUGGUCUUGUCGGUAUUGUGUGUGUGUUUUAAAGAGUCUCUAUUUUGAGCUGUUUGGAGAAGCAGCUGCUCUGAGUUGAGACACAUGUGUCUUAAGCUUGUUCUCUGAUCUUGGCUCUAAAAUAGAAAUCUGUCUGCAGUCUUUCUUGCAGGCAACUUGUCAAUGGGAGUGCUUUCAAAUGUUUCCCAAGUGAGAGGGGUUUGACCCAGGCAUCUUUCUCAUCCAUGUUUUGUGGAAAAUAACGUUUUUAGUUUUAGAGAUUUUUAAACAACUUCCUAUCUGGAAAGCAAUAUGCGUCCCAUACACAUUGCGACUGGAAAACAUUCUUGUAUAAUCAGUCACCCUAGUUCUACCUUAGACGCCCCCAGAAAUAACCAGACUGUGGUUACAUAGAGGCCAUAGCAAACCAUGCAACACUGCUUUAUAGGCACCUGGUUUCCUUCCUGAAAUCACGUACAUUAGUUUCUGCUUCAGCGAACUGGUUAUUUGGUUGGAUAUGUGCCGGCCCCUGUAAUGCUCCGGGCUGAGUGAGAGGUACUCAGGUACCUCUCACUUUUAAACAUUUGCUUUUGCCCAAUGUCCUGUGCCCUUUGCUUGGAGAAUUUACUGGUUAGCACUGGUCCUCGAAAAAGGACUGAGCCAGCACCCAUCUUGGGCCGAUUUAUAGUUCCUCUCUCUCUCUCUCAAACAAAAUUAUGUUUACUUUUUGUGUUCUUUGCCUUUUUAACUGAAAAGUCCUUGUUUACUUAGCUACAAGUUGGGGGAAAGGGUGGGGAAUGGAAGUACUCUUUCUCUACCUUUAAGUUCCUUCAAUAAACCUUUGCAUUCAGUGCUUCCUAUGUGCCAGGCAGAAGGUGGUGCAAAUGGCGCAGCUGCUACCUGGAAGGUUGGGGAUUCAAGUUCAAGCAGAGGUGCCUUAGAAGAGAUGCCUGGAGAUCUAGUUCUGAAAACAGUUCUACCCUGACACACAUGGGGUCGCCAUGAGUCAGAAUCAACUCAAUGGCAGCUUUUUUUUUUCUUUUUAAAUUGUGUCAGGCCCUGUGCAAGGAAUAUAAACAGGCAUGGCCCUGUCCUCAGGUGUUUCUCAGUGAGGCCUCAGUCUUGUGAACAGGUUAGGACACAAGAGAGUUGUGGGUACUGAGUAACGUGAGUACUAGGUGCAAAGGGACACAGAAGGCUGGGCAGUCAGUUCUUCUCGGGAGGCUCGGAUAGGCUUCAUGCAGGAGCUGACCCAGCAGAGGAAGAGCCAAAACCCAUUGCCACUGAGUCAAUUCUGACUCAUGGCGACCCCAUAGGACAGAGUAGAACUGGCCCAUAGGAUUUCCAAGGCUGUAAAUCUUUACGGAAGCAGACUGCCACAUCUUUCUUCCGUGGAGUAGCUGAUGAGUCCAAACCACUGACCUUUUGGUUACCAGCCAAACUCUUUAACCACUGUGCCACCAGGCCUCCUCCCAUAGCAGCCAGGUGUACUUAUUGUGAGGCCUGCCUUCCUCUAGGCUCUGUCUGUACCUUGGACACGCUCCUCAUUUGCCUUUUUCGCAUCAUACAGCCAUGAUUUGCAUGUUUAUCCUCCUCACUACACUCUAGCUCUAGGAGACCAGGCCCAUCUUCUUGUUCAAGGCAUACAGCAGGCACUCAAUAAGUGUGUGCUGAGCAAAAUCAUUCUUUCUUUUUGGGUAGAUUUAUCACAGGUUUGCUUUAAGGAGCAAGCAUUUGUCCCUGCUUUGAAGCGCUUACUUACAAAUCAACUGUUUUUACAGAAUAAGCUGAAGUUUGAGACAUCAGUAUUUAUUCUUUAGUUAUGUCAAUGGAGAGAUGUGAUUGAUUGACAAAAACCUGACUGAAAAGGCUAUUCAGAGAACUGUCUCAUAAAACAAGAUACGACCAUGUGUGGUUGCAACUCAGGUAACUGCCUUGAGCUCUUGCCAGAGGGAGGGCGCGUUUGGCUUGGUUUCCUUCUCUCUCUCGUGGAUGACUGUGGGAUUUUGUGCAGGCCUCUUGCUUCAUGGCAUGUUCCACCCUGUGUUUUCCCAAAGAUUUUUCCCUUUGGAUCUCUCUGUAGAGGUUAGGGCCUUCCACUCUUAUCUUGCUCUUCCUAGCACAGAGCAGAACCCCGGUGGUGGUCUCCCAUGGGCGGAGGCUGGCAGAGCUGAUCCCAGGCCACAGACCUUAGAGAGCCCCCUAUUGGCUGGAGGCAGCAAUGAGGUCUGCAGGUCUCCUUGAGUGCUGUUUUGAAGCAUGCGCCCCGUCUGUAAAAUCAUCACUUGGUUUUUCCAAGCUUCCCAGAAAAUGAGCGCUGUCUAGAUCACUGAGCACCUUGCGGGCUAAUCCUGACAUCUCCACUUAACAGCAUUUGCAUCAUAAACGCCCAAGGUCUGCCUUCCUUUCUUUCACUCCUUUGAAGGGAGUCUUAGCUACUGCUUCUUAAGGUAUUCUUCUAGCUAAAGAUGGCCCUCUGAUCCUGAGAGGGAGGGUCUGUGUCCCCGACCCCUACCCCACCUCACCUAACAGCUGGUGCAGGGUUCCCCAGACCAAAUGGGCUGCCACUGUCAUGCAUCUCCCUGUUGCUUCAGGCACACUCCAGUUUGGGGUGACUUGAGGGAAGCUGAAGGGCUGUUGUGUUGUCAGAAUAUCCUCAUUGUUGUCUUGUAAAUAAACGCUAUCAUAAUAAAAGGAGGUUACUUCUCGUAUGCCUCAAAAGUGGACCGACUACUGUACCAGCCUUAUUCUUGCAAAUAAUAACAGUCAUGUGCUUUAUUGGAAAGCUGCUUGGAAUUGGAGGAAAUCCAGGAGUCGUUUCUGAGCUUGUGGUGGAAAGGGGCUGUUGCCCAGUGGACAAAGCCCUGGCCUCCCUGGAGUGAGGCCUGGGUUCCAGUCCUAGCCCCACCCCUUCCUAAUCUGGUGGCCCGAGACUUUUUAAGCUUCGGUUUCCUCAUCCUCAAAAUGACAUAUUUGCCGACCUCAUAGGCUGUUAUGAACGCUAAUUAAGAUGGAUUCGUGAGGUAUGGGGUAACCAAGAUGUCACGUAAACGUAAAUGGCAAUCCCAGUUUUGGAAAUGACUUAGGAUUUUACAUGUCGCACUUCUUGAGUUGCUCAGAGGCCUCAGUGUUUCUUUGUAUAAGAAGUUUAGUUUCUCUUGGUUUCCUAAAAUAGCAUGGUUCAAUCCUCUGUCUCCCUUCAGCAUAUCUGAAUGUGGAGACAGAAUGAUUUUCCCAAUGGCACAACGUCGACUGAGUGAGCUCUGUUCAGGCGGCUGUGUUUUAGCAUAGGGCCCCAGCCAGGUGGGAACUGACUGAGACGGAGAGGUUAUCCUGAUGGGAGGGGAGGGUGGGGGGCAGGAUUAGAUCACAGGUCAUCGAUUUGGCAGUUGAGCGACUCCCCCGCCCCCCAUGUACAGACUGGGAAGGAAUGUCAGGUUUCAAUAUUUAUGAGAAGAGAAAAUAAAUUUUGGUGACAAAUCAAUUCAUAAAUAAUCACAAACAACAAUAAACUUUCAUUCCGAAAGUGUUCUGAGCUUUAAAAAAUGUAUAUUCGUAACCCGCAUCUAAUUUGAUGUUCAGGGCAACCUUUUAGCUGCAAAUGGUCACACAGGCAGAGAGAGAUGGGGCUGAGGCCCAGAUUCUGCUCUGUGUUCCACAUGACCUGAUUUCCUGGAUAGGAGGCAGCACACAUCCUCUGCACAUGGACACACACCUGAGAAUGUAGGAAUGGCGGGAUGAAGAAAAAGGAGAUGAAAUGGGUGGGAUAGAGGGUAGAAUAGAUCCGGCCCACCAACUUCCUCUGAAGAGGCUAGAUACUAAAUAUUUUAGGCUUACCAGCCCAGAGGCAAAAUCAGGAUAUUAUGUAGAACUUACAUAACCGUUUAAAAAUGUAAAAGCCAUUCUUAGCUUGUGGUCCAUAAAAGUGGAGGCAGUGGGCUGGCUUCAGCCCACUGGCUGCGGUAUCCCGACCCCUGGAGUAAAUAGUUGGCUACUUUCUGCGGGCAGAAUUUUGCAGUGCUGUGCACCUGUGCACACCUCCUUUGGCCUGCUGCUGAAGGCUCCCAGUAAUAAGUCACCGGGAGCUGGUGGAGUUUCACAAUGUCUUAGAGUUGGCUCUUGAUAGAGUCAGAGGGGACUCCCAGGAAAACUCUCAAGGCUGUAUUUAAAAAAUCUUCCAGGGAUCCUUUUCCAGUGCAGACUAAGGUCAUUGUUCUCCACACACAAAGCCUAACCACUCUGCAGGUGUGCUGAGCCCCGGAGCCCCAGGUCCCUCAUCCUGUAUCCAGUUUGCAGGCCUUCCAGGAAGAGGGAGUUUUUGGACCAUUGGAAGGUCCUGCCUGCUCUCGCCUUCCAGGUCCCAUGAGCGCUAAGCUCAGUGCUGCCCAUCCCUGUGGCUCAGAGAAGCAGUGACCAGCCCAGGUCCGGCUCCCGUGUGCUGCCCUCAGCUGUGGAACCACCUUUGUGUCUAGCAGCAGUCCAAGCAAGGCCCGAGUCUGGCUUUUCUGCCUGUGUUGUUCCAAAACUCCACUCACAGGUCCUGGCCUUUCUUUCCGCACUGCCCACUGUGAACUCCAACUCACCUCCUGGCAGCCACAGGCAGCACAUACAUCAUGUUGCCUUCUAGAAGAAUCACGUCCCUUCUGGAACCGGCCCCUAAAGCUACACACGGUAUAGCUUGUAUCAGCCGUUUUCCUGAAGUAUAGCAGCUCCACGGAGUCCCAAGGCGGUGCUCCAAACUCUUUGCCCCAAAGAGAAAAGUGACGAGGACUGGCUGGGCAUGUAUAUGAGCUUAGCCAGAGUAAUUGGUUUGUUCCCGGAGAUGAUGGCGAUCAGCUUGAAAAGAUGAGGCCACAGGAGUUUAAGAAAAGAUGAGGCCACAGGAGUUUAAGAAAAGAUGAGGCCACAGGAGUUUAAGUCGAUUUUUACUAGUUGCAGACGUAGGGAGAAGUAAUAACCCAGGUUCUGGGGUGGAGCUACAGCCGUUUAGAAAGAAACCACCUUUUUGGUUUCAGAUUCAACCUGUGAAUGAAGAAAAAAGAUACUUGCAGGGGUUAACUGGCAUGUAAUUUGGUCUCCUUUGGUUUGGACUGGGCAUUGGAGGCUCAACUUGGUAACUCGUUUGUUAAUGUCCAGGCUGUUGUCUGGUUACCACCGAAGCAGGGAGUCUCUUGAUUGCACACUGCAUUCUUCCAUGUGGAAGAACCCUGGAUUGCUGGUACCUACCAGAAUCUAGGUAAAAUGGAUUUCUUUCAGGGCAAAUAAAGUAGUUUUAGGCUCAGUAAAUGGGUUGGGCCUUUAUUUAGAGCGAGAUGUGUUUAGCAGGAGUGGAAUAAAACCAUUUAUUUGCUUCAUCAGAUUAUGUAUUACUGCAUCUACCACGGCGAGGAACCCCUGUGUGCUGGGGGUCCAAGAGGAAGAAGGAGCAGCCCCUGCCCUUCCACAGUAUAAAGUAGAGUGCGGUGGGAAGCCUUCCUUUUCCAGAUUUUCCGUUUGGAAAUACAUUUCCUUUAGAUUUUGUCGUCACCACCUCAGUUGCUCCCCGUGAGCUUCCUUGGGAUCCACCUAUCUCUGCCACUAGCCCUUCCAGAGCAACAGACUCUACUCACUGUGCCUUGUUGCUCCUGCCGUCUUCACUGUUUGCCCUCUGACUUUUAACCCUCUGCUCUCUCUAAGGUUAUACCACUCAUCAAAGCCUUUGGCUUUUUCCUAAGCCUUGUCCUUUGUCCCCUUCAGCAUUUGAAACUUUUCUGUGGUCUGUCUCCUCCUUCUGCAACUCCUCUGUCCCUCUCCUACUAAGUGGAAAGUUCCCCCAGGGCCUUGGCUGCAGGCCCUUCACCUUACACACCUUACACCCUCGGCUCCGGCAGACUCCAGCCCCUCAUUCUUCUGGAUCAUGACUUCCUACCUGGAAGUCCUGCUGGUUCCUCGGUAUUUCCAAAAGUGGAUCCCUCCUUGUCUUCACCACCCACAGACCUGUUCCCACCCUAUGUUCCUCACGGCCAUGUGAAAGGCUCUGAACGCUCAGCACAGACUUCACUUGCAGCUUCUCUUUUUCCUCCUCACAUCCCUCAGUGGCUAAGUCCUAUUUAGUUUAAUUCUGGAGAACAUUUUCCCUCUUACUCUGCAUUGCUGCUACCCCGUUUCUGGUGUUACUGCAUUUUGCCGAGACUGUUAUUUCACUGAACUCUUCACCCCAGGCUUUCCCUCUUGGCCUGGCCUGUAAACUACUCUCAGAUGAAUCUCCCAAAAGCAGAUCCCCAGUCUGGUUCCUGCAGCCGCUUAACAUGAUUGGUGGCUUUUCAUCACCUCCUGGACCACACCUGGGCUCCCUGAGUGGCCCUGAUGGCCCUCCAGACCUGACUCCACUGGCCUUGCCAGUUCUUUCUUGUACAUGCCUUUAGCUCGCUUCUUUCUUCCCUUUGCUUCUACUGUUAUUUCUUCCUAGAAAGCUCUCCCUGUCUACUCCCCCUCCUUCUGUGUCCAGACCCUGUCCUGCUCACGUGCCCCCUCCUCCUCAAGUCCUUCCUUGAUCCAGGGGUGUGCUCUCCAUGGGCCUGCUUCCUGUUUCAUCUGUACCUUUCUUUGGCACUUUUCGUGUCUUACCUUGUAUUGUAUUUGUUCACAUGUCCUUAUUCUCCUUGUGUGCUCAUCUCUACUCUCUGUGGGGAUUAGGGUGUGAGGUGCUCAGUCACCAUUUGAAUGGACACAUGAAUGACAGUUCUCACUCUGUUCUGCUCUGCUAUUACCUUCGAUGCCUGGGAGCAAGGCCUGUUUCGUUACCUUGAGUAGAACAAGACAUACAAAGGAUCUUAACAGUUAGCAAAUAUCAAAUUGCAGAUUUAAGGUGAACAAAAACAAUUUUCAGGAGGAAAGACUAAGAUACGGGGGCAUUCAUGGUGACUUAGGACCUUCCCCCGGCAGGCUCUUUAGCAGAAAUCUUUCCCCCAGCAGACACAGGAACUCCCGAAGCAUGUCACAUUUAUACUGGGCCCUUGCUCAUACGGCUCAGGCUCACCAGAGGUCAGGGUGCGCCAGCAGGUCUGAGUAAGGAAUCAGAGUCAUAGAUACAAAGACUUGGCUGCCAACAGCGGCAGCUUCGGAUGAAAUGUGGCUUAGGAGUCAGCAUGGCACAGCAGCCAUGGCGCCAGCCCGCCCCUGGGUUUUCAUUAUAGACAAAUGGCCUUAGGUCAGACACCCAACCUCUCUGAGCCCCAGGUCUCCUGUUUAUGCAAUAGGGGUAAUUCCACAUACCUGAAGGGCUGCUGUGACGCAUAAACAGGUCACAUAAUCAAGGGCUGUCAUGAUGCUGCCACCUAGAAGGGCCUCUGUGAAUGGCAGGCCCAGAGCUCCUGCCAGGACGUGGCAGGGCACAACUUGCCCUGGCAACCCCACCAGAGUACAUGCUAAGAAAAGGCUAUGCAGGGGCAGCAGAGCACUUAAGGUCUGAGAAGGUGAAGGCAUUGCACAGUCCAGGUUCAUGAGCCCGGCCUCUCUGUACACGUGAAAUGAUUCAGGCACAUCAAGGCCCAGUCCAGGUCUUGAACCUGAACCUUCCGCCCUUGUCCCUCCCCCUCUUCUCUUUCCCUGCAGGAUCUUUCUACUUCUCAAGAGUAGGGAGUAGGGGACAGAUUGGCCUACUGCCUUGGACUUCUUUAUCUCUAGCGUAUGUUUCUGUAAAUUUAAACUUUCUCAGUUGGGUAAAAGCUUUAGAAUUACUAAAAUUCCUUUUGUGUUGCCUAAUGUUCUUGCCAUUUAAAAGAUUAACAGGCAUAAUUUCAGGGAGCCUGCAUGAAUGGCAUGUCUCGUUUAGCUUAAUCUCUCUUUGGUACAUGUUAAAACAUAUACAGAGAGCGUCUCUAGCGCACACAGGGAGCCUGAAAAUGAAAGGUCACUCUGAUCCAAUCUCUCAGAACAGUGGACUUACUAUAAAACAAAAACACGAAGUGAGCAGCUUACCUUGCUGACAAGUGCUAUAGCCCAGAUGUAAAAAUGCAAGGUGCCCAAAGGAUGGGGGUAUGAAGUCAUUUCCAGGACGUUCAGGAGAAGGCAGGCAAGUCACGCUGGAGGAAACCAGUGACGUUUUAACAAACCUUUCCUGGCCACAAAACAGCAGGCAGAGAUCGCCUCUGGAAGUUUUUGUUUGGAAAAAGCCUUCUCUGCCGAGUUCUAAGACACCAUGUGUCACAAUUGUUGGCAGAGAGACAGAGUGGGGUUAUUGGAGACUGCACUGGCUAACCUGAAGUCAGCAGCAUCUACUGAGCAUGCUGGCAGCCAGUGACUACAAUGCUCGCUAUUUAGACUGUCUGACUACCUACCUGUGACUAAAGAACGCCUUGCAGACCAAAUCGGUAAAAGACUGAAUAGUGCAUAUGUAAGGGGGGAUAACAUUGUGGUCAUCGUUGUCAUUGUCACAACUGCAUUGAACACCAGCUGUGUUUAUUCAUUCAAUCAAAAAUGUUUACUAUAUAAAGAAAAAGUUCUACAUUCUACUUUGAUGAACAGCGUCUGGGGUCUUAAAAGCCUGUGAGCGGCCAUCUAAGAUAUUCCACUGGGCUCACCCCUUUGGGAACAAGGGAGAAUAAAGAAAACUAAAGACGCAAGGUAAAGAUUAAUCUAACAAACUAACGAACCCCAACUACCAUGGCCUCCACCAGACUGAGUCCAGUAUAUCUAGAUGGUGUCCAGUUACCACCACUGACUGCUCUGACAGGGAUCACAGUAGAGGGUCCCAAACAGAGCUAGAGAAAAGCGUAGAACAAAAUUCUAACUCAAAAAAAGGCCAGACUUACUGGCAUGACAGAGACUGGAGAGACCCCAAGAGUAUGGCACCCGGAAACCCUUUAGCUCAGUGAUGAAGUCACUCCUGAGGUUCACCCUUCAUCCCAAAAUUAGACAGGCCCAUAAAACAAAAGGAGACUAAAGGGGCACACCAGCCCAGGGGCAAGGAUGAGAAGGCAGGAGGGGCCAGGAAGGCUGGUAAUAGGGAACCCAAGGUCAAGAAGGGACAGUGUUGACAUGUCAUGGGGUUGUUACCCAGUGUCAUAAAACAAUAUAUGUACUAUUUAAUGAGCAGCUGGUUUGUUCUGUAAACCUUCAUGUAAAGUACAAUUAAAAAAAAAAUUUCCAGGAUGCCUGCUAUGUGCCGAACACUGCUGAUCAUGCACAAAGGGCCUUAGAAGGCAAGUAACAUCGUUCCUACCUAACGGAGAGGAAACUGAGGUGCAGAAAAGUGACAGUUAAAUAAGUAGCCUAACUUCACACAGCUUCCAAGUGGUAGAGCUGGGAUCCAAACUCAGGUCAGUUUGAAUUUUUCUAUAAGAAUGACUUGCACAUAUACUGACAUAAGAGAGAUUCACAGAAUGAGCCAUGCGUAGUAUUUCCUGGAUCAAAUCUAUUCAUGUAGUAUGUAUGCCGGGUGUCUGUAUACAUCCAGGAGCCUUGGUGGCGCAGUGGUUAAGAGUUCAGUUGCUAACCAAAAGGUUGGAUUUGGAAUCCACCAGCUGCUCCUUGGAAAUCCUAUGGGGCGGUUCUGCUCUGUCCUGUAGGGCUGCUGUGAGUCAAAUAAACUCAGCCACAACAGAUUCGGUUUGGGUUAUACAUAACCGUGUUUAAAUGAUAACAGUGUCCAAAGAGAUUCAGUUAAGUACUGCUGGAGCCGGGAGGGAGGGGUGGAUGCUGGCGUUUGGCUGAUCUGAGGACCACUCCAGAAGAUGCCAAGCAUCCUCUGUUGGUUUACAUUGCAGCGGCCCAAAGCGUGUAUUGUGUUUUAAUUGAUCAAAAUUGACUUCGCUGACGUUUCUCUCAAGUGGAUUUUUUUGUUUGGAAAAAGCCCUUUUUGGGUAUAUUUUUUCUUAGUAUGUCCAUGCUGCCAUUUAUUUUCGCAGCAUUCCUACCAAAUAGGAGGGAUCAGAUAAGAGCCUCAUGUUUACAGAGAAAGAAUUGGGAAGAGGGCGAUGUAUCAAAUCACUGUCAAGUCUAGUACUUUAACUGCAGGGACGUUUGAUGAUGGCAGUGUUCUGAUUUCUUGAUAUCUCCACCUAUUCCUCUAAAGUUUUGUUUCCAAGACCACCAAGAAAUGCAAUUCUGGUCAGGUUUGCUCUUCUCUUAGGAUAGCAUUUUGCGACAAAGACUGCCUCUCCUGCCUGUGUUGGUUAACUCCCUCUGUGUAGAAAGACUACCGUGCAGGGGUACCUAGCCAGGGCAGGGCACUGAAGUAUGCCUCUUCCCUUUUUGGGGGGAAUUUUUGUUAUUUUGCCUAGAUAUUUGAGUUUUUUUUUUUAAUUAUUAUUUUUAUUUUUAAAUAUUCAGAACACUUUGGACUCUAGAAAAGAUUUUCCUAAAGACCCGUUGCAAUUAAUAGUGACCCUAUAGACAGAGUAGAGCUGCCCCAAAGGGUUUCCAAGGGCGGCUGGUAGAUUCGAACUGCGAUCUUUUGGUUAGCAGCUGAGCUCUUAACCGCUGCACCACCAGGGCUCUUUUCCUAAAAAGGAUUCUAAAAAAAAAUUUUACCAAAUAAGUUUUUAGCAUGGGCUGCAAUAUUGUUGAUUUCAUAUUUGUUUUUACAAAUGGGCCUCCCAGUUGUCCUCCAAAUACGUAUGAACAUUUUCAGCAGACACCCUGUUGUUCGCAUAUUCAGGAGGAGCACCUGAUGGCAUCGCGUGUCUUAGGUUAUUGGGCAUAUCUGGAGUUGGUAAUUUGAGUCUCAGGUUGGACGGCAGAGUGUUUGAACCAUAUAGUAUGCAGCCAUUUCUCUGCACUUCUGUGGACCUUCAGCAUCUCUUUAAAGGUUAUAUCUGAAGAGUUCAGAUUUGUCACUUGGAGUAACAUGGAAAUAAAAGCAGAAGAUAGAGUGGUUACUGCAUUUUGCCCUGCUUUUUCCCUGGCUGGACUUCCUUAAGGUGCAGGUAGUUGACUUUUCCAGAACGGAUGGGCUCCUGCCUGCCUCAUGCAGCCCCCUGCGUGGUCCUCCCAGCCAUCCACCCACCCUGCCCUGUGCCCAGUGGCCUCACUGCUCCUUUAGCACAGCCUAGCUGUCCCUGCUUUUGUGCCAUUCCCUUUCCAGACUACAUUCUACUUUUUCCUCAGAGCCCCGCUAGUCUUACCUCCCCCUCAGCACCACCACUCCACACCAAAGCCACCUUUAGAACCCUGGAGCACUCUGUCUUUCUUUCUGCUCUGUUCUCAUCCCACUCAGUGUCCUCCGUGGUGGGGACUCCUGAGGCAGACCUGGGGCUCUUCAUCUUUGCAUCUUUGUAGGGUUUGGUUCUCAGGACACAUCUGAUGAAUGAAUGAGUGAAUGAAUGAAUGAAUGCAAUAAGCACUACUCAAGAGACCUCUUAAGCAGUCAUGGAAUUUCCUAGCAGUUGGCUUUUAGAAGACUGAAAAAUAUUUUGGUAUUUGUCUCUUUAAGGAAUAUAUAUGUGCCAGUCAAUACCAAGUGCUAUUUUUCAGGGGGUUCCUGAAUGGGUGAUGGAUGAGAAACAUGAUUCCUUGGGGGUGAAAACUUGUUCAGGUUAAAUUCCUAUAGAAAUCCUUAUGGCCUUGAGUUGUUCUUCUAAGAUGUAGCAAGAAUGUAAAUAGCUAGCUACUUUGACCUCCCUCAGAUAUUUACCGAUGUAAACAUUCUGUCCUCAUACUGAAAAAAAAAAUUACCGAAGGGGGGAAAAAAAACAGCCCAGGGUUAUGAGCGCCAGCACUGUCAUUGGGUGCGCUGUCUGUGUGGCUAAGUUGUACAUCAAGGGACACGUUUAAGAAAGGCAACAAGGUAAGAAAAACGCUAAAGCUGAAGUUGAGGUGAUUGGAAAGAAAUAGAUCUAUAUUUGCCAUAUAUGGUAAUAAAAGAAAAGUCUGUGCAAAUGCUCUCGACAUUUAUGGACUUCUCCAUGAUUCAUCUAGCAAGGCCAAUAACUCCAGCCAAGAGAUAUAGAAUUUGUUAAACUGUAUCUCUUUCCUGAAUUGUUCCCGCUAGAAAGAAGCCAUGCUUGUGUAUUCAAAAGAAAUUCCAGUCCUACGUAAAAGUUAGUCUUUGGUAACAGGCUUGAGAAGGAUUGCCACAGAAUUCCAGACGUACUUCACGGCCAUUUGUUUACCAAAACCUGCAGUACCCCUCUGUGUUAGCAGUUCCCUGCAGACCCAGGUUGACGUGCUGAUGGAUUUUCUGUAGCUGCGUGCACUUCUCCCAUGCCAGAAAUAGAAGGGUCUGUGCUUUUUCGGCUGAUUUACUCAUAUACAAACUCUUCUCAUUUUAAUCUGUUAUUGAGUUAAGUGACAUUUGUGGCUCCAUUUCUAGGGGCUGGGUAAAAAAUGAGCACCCAGCCCUGCGUUUCCUUCACCUAGCAGGUUCUGAGCUGUGUCUGGCUCUUGCCGUCCCUGCUCCCUGGCAUUCCUCUUGACACCAGGCCCAGGAGAGCCAACUUGUAUGGGCUUCACAGGGGGCUGCUGCUGGAAGUGCCUUUAGAGGCUACAUUUAUGGCAUCCCAGAGAGCACACCGGGAGAACACUCGCCGCUCACUCCCGCCGCUCAGCGCCUAUUUCCCACCCUGGUGUCCUGUGAAAUGGGCUAGUAAGGAAAGGGCACGCAUGUGUAGGAGCUGAGCAAGUGGGGUAUCCAAAUCAACAUCAGACGACUUCUUUUUAGAUGUACUCUUUGAGCUAAGAAGACAAAAUCGAGUGAAAGUCAUGGAGUCAAAUGUCUUUUGGAUGUUGAGGGCAGAACAUAAGCAGCAGCCAAUGCAACUCAGCUUUCCUUCCAUCCCUUUCCUGGUGUUAGAAACGUCAUUUCCCUGAUCUCUGGGCUCUCUGAAUGGUGUGACCUGCUGGAUAAUAUUGGAGGAAACUAAGGAGGCACUUCUUUGGGGCCCUCAAAUUGAUUUUCUUUGAUUGAGUAAAGCUGGAGCCCCUUCUUAGCAGCAUGCCCGUCCGUCACUGGGGAUGCCGAAGCGGAGAUGGGCCAUAAAGUCUACAGAAGCCUUUGUUUGCCCUGGCAACCUUUGCUUAUCUUUACUUGCUAUGAUGAGGUAGGAGUCCACCCGGAAGCCUCUGAGUCUUGCUUCAGAGAUUUAAAUCCGCUGGUUGCCCACUGAGCCACAUAUGUUCCAUGGACUUGGUUUCUACCCAUCUGGUAUAAAUAAUUCUGUUUAGAAAUUGAGAAAUUAUGGUCUGUAUUUUAUAUGCCAGUGGCUCUGUAGUAUUUUCUAAGAAAAGGCGAUGCACGUGAAAAAUACAAGGUCCCUGUUUGGGUCACACACCUGUGGAGCUUUCUGGCUAUGUGUGGCUCUCUAGGCGCCUUGCCCUGCUCUGAAGAGUAGAACCUUGUCCGUGAAAGGUCCUGCCUUUCUUUCCACUGGUGUGUUAGUGAGCGUCUGAAUAAACAUUUGCAGUGCACUCUGUCUCUGCAAGUAGAUUUUCCCAUCGUUUAUUAUCUGAGGAGCUCUGUGAAAAAAAACUAGUAAAUAUUAAUAAACAGUGUGAGCAGAUGACUAAGCUUCGAUGAAGGUAUAUCUCUUCUAUGCGGCUUAAUUUUGGGUAAGCUGAUGUUGUUAGGUGCCGAUGAGUCGGUUCCGACUCAUAGCGACCCCACGUAUGACCGAACGAAACAGUGCCUGGUCCUGCACCAUCCUCACAGUCUUCGUUACGCUUGAGCCCAUGAUUGCAGCCACUGUGUCAAUCCAUCUCGUCAGGGGUCUUCUACUUGUUCCCUGACCCUCUUCCUCACCAAGCAUGAUGUUCUUCUCCAGGGACUGGUCCCUCCUGAUAACAUGUCUUAAGUACAUGAGCUGAAAUCUCACCAUCCUUGCUUCCAAGGAGCACUCUGGCUGUAUUUCUUCCAGGGUAGACUUGUUCGUUCUUCUGGCGGUCCGUGAUAUAUUCCGUAUAUAAGCCCUGGCAAGCUUUUCAGUUAUGUAAGCUAGUUGCACACAAACGGUGAAUAAAUUUGAAGGCAUUUAGGUGGGGAACCAAAGAAAACUAAGACCAGAACUGGGAAGGAAAAUAAUUGCAGUCUGAUUUUAAAUCGUGUAUGUCUCCUUGGUGAAAUCUUUUAUUUGUUUUGUGAUUUGCCUGCUGAGUCAUCAGCGUCAUAUCCACACACUGGGGGCUGUGCCUGGCCCUUUGGUGUUAGUUUGAGAUGGUAUCUUAAAUCUCCCCAAUAUUCCCUGAGAUCUGUGACUCCAUCCUCUCAUCAUAAAAAGAAUGAGCAUUCCUUAUAGAAAUUUGUGAAAUACAUACAGCGUAAAGAAGGAGCCAAGAAUCAUCUGUGAUCUUAGAUGUAACUGUUGAACAUGUUGCUUUCGACCUUUCUCAUUGUUUUUGUUCGUAAACAUUAUAUAUUUUAAAACAAUUAAGAUUGUGCCGUACAUGUGAUUUCAUAGCAAGAUUUUCCUUCAACAUUAGUAUUUUAUCUAAGCAAAUAGAUAAAGCAUAUGAUGGGCCAGGAGAUUUCCUGCUGACACUUACUAUAAAAUAAUUUCCCCUGGAGGAAAUAUGUGCAGAGCAUAGCCGUGCAUUAGCAGGUACAGUGUGUCUUUUCUUUUGGGUCAUUCACAAACCAAAACAGUGCCUGGCCCUGGGUCUUGUUGCACACACGGACUGCCAGGAGAACAAACAAGCCUGUCUUGGAAGAAAUAUAGCCAGAGUGCUCCUUGGAAGCAAGGAUGGUGAUUAUUUUUAAUGGAUAAACUUCUAGAAGUACAGGUACUAAGUUGAAAGAUUAAUCUGCAUUCUGAUAUUAAAUGCGGAAACCCUGAUGGCCUAGUGGUUAAGAACUAUGGCUGCAGCUCAAACCCACCAGGCGCUCCUUGGAAACUCUGUGGGGCGGUUCUACUCUGUCCCAUAGGGUAGCUAUGGGUUGGAAUUGACUCGAUGACGAUGGCUUUGGUUUUUGGUUUUAGAGAUAACUACUGUUUAACACUGCUGUAUUUCUUGCCUUUAUUGUCCGUAUGCAUACAUAUGUGGAUUUGUUCAUUUUUACAACAUUGAAGUCAUACUUCACACACACUGUGCAGUUCGUGACUCCUUUCCUACUUUUUUCCCCACUUAACUUCCCCAGUUAACCCUUACUUAUACUCUGGAUCUGGGCUUAGACGCCCCUUCCACGGAGGGACCCACAUCCCCCUAUUCUGGGUCAGGUUGGUCUCUUUGCCGCACGUGGCUCCUCUUCAUAGCACUAACCACUCUUGAGUGUUCUCUAUGUGAGUGGAGAUUUGAUUAAUUAAUGUCUAUCACCCCCCACUCUUCAGAAGCCCCAUAAGGCACAGGAACCCAUAGGUUUUGCUCAUGAUUGACGUAGUACUUCUGGCAGUACUUGAGUUUACAUGCCUGGCCCCUAACUGAAAGGUCAGCAGUUCGAACACACUAGAUGCUCCAUGGGAGAAAAGACCUUUGGGGAUCUACUCAUGUAAAAAUUUCAGCCUAAGAAACCCUUUGGGGACAGUUGUGUUCUAUCAUACAGGGUCACUAUGAGGCAGAAUUGACUCAACAGCACACAACAAAUAUGCCAUUGUAUUGCUUUACUAAAAUUUAUGUGAUAGGUAAUAAGCAAUCUUCUAUUGCUGGAGUCUACGUUGUUUAUAAUUUUUCACUACUUUAAACACGUACUUUGUGUAUAAAUCUAUGCCUACAUCUCCGAUUAUUUUUAAUGGAUGAAGUUCUAAAAGUCCAAGUACUAAGUUGAAAGGUUAAUCUGCAUUCUAAUGUUAAGUACACCAUUUGGCUAAAUGUCGGCAGCGUCUGAGAUGAUCUAGACUAAAUUACACAUUGGGUAUAUGUGGCAAAAGUGGCAGUCACACCAGCUGGUUCGUUUCAGAGUCUGAGGACGGAGAGGCGCCGUUAGGGCACAUCCCCCAUCUAGCAUGUGAACCGCCUUUACAGCGGCUCUCGUGUGGGGUUAGCUUGGUGAUGAGUCUGGAAGAGUCUGUUCAUUCAUUCUUUCCAGAGGCUUUCCUUGAGCGUCUCUUCUGGAUCUGGCCCUAUGAAUGGCUCCAGAAACGGAGUUGAGGAUUAUGUGGCCCCACAGCAGCGGACAAGAAAUCUCGGCUGGGUUCAUCGUUGUCAUUAGGAUGUAAGUUCCAUGAGGGCAGGGACCUUGAUUCUCCCACUCACUGCGUAGUAUCUGACACAUAGUUAAGUGCUCAAAUGGCUUUGAAUAAAUUAAAAUAUGAAUAUAAUAUGAGGCUUCUAUCUUUGAGCAACUGUCUAUAUCAAAAUCUAUUGAUUUUUGUAUACAGUCGUCCCUCAGCAUCCACAGGGGAUCGAUUCCAGGACCCCCCAAGGAUACCAAAAUCCUUGGAUGCUCAAGUCCCUUAUAUGAAGGGGUGUAGCAUUUGCGUAUAACCUACACACAUCCUCCCAUAUACUGUAAAUCAGAUUACUUAUAAUACCUAAUACAAUAUAAAUGCUAUGUAAAUCGUAGUUCCAUCACAGUUGAAGACUUGCUCUGCAAGGUAGCCUUUCCCUUCUGUGAGUUUCUUGAGCUCUCCUGGGAAUGCCGAUGUUGCCUGGGCAUCAGCCGAUGCCAGUUUGCUCAUGAUCUGGAAGUUCUCGAGGCUAACCCGCUGGCCACCCAGAGUCUGGCGGGAAGUCCUUGUGUCCGGUGGUCUGCCCCAGGACAUAUGGCUCUCAGGACUGGCCAGGGGUGACGUGAGCCCAGCUGAUGAGAACCAGCUCUUCCAGUCCCUCCUGGGUGGGAGUCAAAGCCAGAGGUGCUGGUGAGAUGAAGGGGAAGGGCUCCUCUCCCCCGGGGCCGCCUACUGUCUCAGCUGCCUCAUGGGAUGCAUACACACGGUCAGAGCGGACAGCCUGUCCUGAAAGAGUGACCAGGAGCAGUUCUCGCCUACAAGACUUAGAAACGUCAGAGCAGCCAUUUCUCAAACGUUUUGGCCUUUUAAAAUUUAUUGAGGACUCCAAAGAGCUUUCGUGUAUGUGUGGUGUAUCUGUCAACAUUGACUGUGUUAGAGAUUAAGACUGAGAAGUUUUAAGACACAAGAAUACACAAGCACAUGUGCCAUUAGCUUCAGAGUGAUCACAGAUAGCUUCUGGAAAGCUCCAUUGUACAUUCAUGAGAGAAUGAAAGUGGAAAAGGCAAAUAACAAAACUGGUUUUGACCUUACGGAACCUCGAAAGGUCCUGGGCGACCCAGGAGUUGCCAGACCACACUUUGGCUUCGCAGCACUUUGGAUUCUCCUGUACCCCUAAGCUGCCACCGCGUAUUGUCGUUCUUCCUAGAAAAGGUGGCCUUUGUGUACUUCAAAACUGUCCUUUUCUUUCUUCCAUCUUCUUUGCACUACCCUCAGCCUUCAUCACCUUAUGUCCAAAUUUGAGCAUCAGCCAAAUUUGAGUGUUAGCCAACUUGAUAAACCUGCCACUUUCUAACACGUCUUCCUAAUGAAGGAACACCACUCACGGUUGCUCAGGAACUCAGAAAUCCUCCCUGCUGCCUGGUUCCUCAGGUCUCCCUGCUCUGCCUUCAGGGUGCCCCAGCUGGUGCUCCCCACUCACCACCAGGAAGCCUCCGCUUGACCCCUGCCUACUCCUCAUCUUUGCCCCCGCCCCCCUCCGGCACCACAAAGCCAAACCCUACCCAUUAUGCGGUUUUAUUAGGUACAGUGCUGCAGGCACAUCCAUCAGUAUGGGAGCCUUCCUGCCAAGAUGCAGAACAUGUCUCAAAUGGAGCAGAGAAAUUUAAAUGGGAAGAAAUUAUAGCAUGAGUGAGUUUAUCCCUUUCAAGAUAAUCUUAUUUAAUAACCAAAAAAAAAAAAAAACCUCACAAA